rnacentral:lncRNA from 1 species
UCCUAAGGAGAGGGAGUGAGCUCCUGGCGCAGCUUCUUGCUUUCGCCUGGAUCACUUAUUUUGCCAUUUCUCUCCACCGAUAGCUAGUCUUGUGCCAAUGAGUUUCGUUUGCAACCGCGGGAAGGCGGAAACGGAGACGGAGGUUAGAAUGACGCCGCUCCUUUCCUGCCAAUUCUUUUUCCCUAAACCUGCAAGUUUCUGUUGCGAUGCCAUGUCGCGAACCAAACAGAGGAGACCUGCCUGCAUGUGAGAUCUUCUAUAAUUCAGAAUAAGGAGGGUGGUAUAUAUGAUCACAUAAUCGAAACAUUUAUGAUUUCUUCUGUUUCGCGAUCCACAUACUAUAUAUGUAUGCAAUACAUGUUCAGUUUUUCUAAACUGAAAAUGGCUCCUCCACCAUGAGCAGCUACCAUGGAAUGUGGGUAAUGUAAAUCAAAGAAUCCUUUUUUUUAACCUGUUUUUUUUUUGAACCUGGCUAAUCAAUCAAAAGAAUGUGGAGCUAGGUUUGGAAUUGUAACCCUCUCCUCUCCUACAGUAUGCUAAACUUGUAGUACUACUUGAAUGAGCUUCAUCCUUUGCCUGCUUACAGGCGCUGUUGCUUGCUCCUUAAUUCAGACAGUGCUGUCGAAGUCACUCGUGUACUCCCGGAGCGUCUGCAAGAGCGGAGUCGCCCUGCCCUUCUGGUGCGUCUGCUCGGAACACUUGAGCAGCAUCUGCAGCACGACCUUCAUGGUCGGCCGCGACGACGGCGGGGACGCUGUCGUGCACAUCAGGCCUAGCCUGAACACGAAUUCGAUCUCCUCCGAGAACCCCGCGUUUCUGAUGCGACUAUCUGUGGCUCCGUCGAUGCUCCCUCCUGACUCGUCCAGGCGCCGCACCCAUUCCGCCAGGGACCCGUCCUCACCGCCGUCGCUGGCCGCCCGGCCGGUGGUGAGCUCCAGGAGCACCACGCCGAAGCUGUACACGUCCACCUUCUCCGUCACACUCGUCGUGUUAGCGCACUCUGCACACCAGCAUGUGAAGGUGUGAAAAUUCAGCUACUGACGAGUGACGACCAGGGAUGUUUUGGUUCCUUACCCGGAGCCAUGUAGCCGGACGACCUGGCAACGGCGGACAUGGUGUCGGGCGUGCCGGCCUGCACCAGCAUCCUGGCCAGCCCGAAGUCCGCGACCUUGGUUCGGAACUCGGAGUCCAGCAAGAUGUUGCUGGUCUUGACGUUCCGGUGAACGAUGGGCGGGGAGCACUCGUGGUGCAUGUAGCAGAGCCCCUGCGCGGCGUCGACGGCGACUCUGAUCCUCGUGGGCCAGUCCAAACCACCCUCGUUGGACGACGCGGAGUGCCCGGCGCCGUUGGGGAGAGCGUGCCUGUGGAGCCACCCGUCGAGGCUGCCGUUGUCCAUGUAGUCGUACACGAGGAGCUUGUCGGCGGAGUCGGCGUGGGAGAGGCAGCACAGGAGCCUGACGAUGUUCUUGUGCCGGACGCCGCCGAGGAUGCUGGCCUCCGACUCGAACUCGCGCUCCAGCCUCUCUUCCACCUUCCGGGCGCUCCGUAUUUUUUUCACGGCAACGGCGCUGUCCUUGCCGAUGUACCGGUUAGUGUACGCGGGUAACGCGGCGCGGUACACGCGCCCCGACCCGCCGCUGCCGAUGAGAUUCUCUUCGGUAAUCGCCCGGAGUAUGUCUGCCUCCCCGAACCCCAGAUUGGUCUGGAAAGACGUCAUCUUCCAGCCACCGUCCUGUGCGGCGCGCUUCCUUUUCCUGAUGUCGCGGACGAUGAAGAAGGCCAAGGCCACGAUGAGGACAACGAGCGUGCCGCCAAUGAACAGGAGGCCAGUGCGGAGCGCCGGCCACAUGCCCCCGGAGGAGGAGGCGGCUUGUGAUCCCGCGGCACAGAUGCGCACGCCUGUGAGGUAGCCUGGCCCCAGAUCGGCAUGGCAGAGGCCGGGGUUGUCGAGGAAGCUCCGGUCGUAAGCGGCGGUGGCGAGCCCUGCCGGUACCUGGCCUUGGAGCUGGUUGGAUGACAGGUUGAGCGAGCUGAGCUGUAGCCCGGCAAGCGGCGGCGGUAUGUCGCCGGAUAGCUUGUUUGACGACAGGUCAAGUGCGUCGAGCACCCGCAUGGCGCCCAAUUCAGCCGGUAUCUCGCCGGCCAGCUGAUUCCUGCUCAGGUCCAGCUGCGUCAGGUAGCUGAGCUUGGCUACGCUCCUUGGGAUCUCGCCAGAGAGCUGGUUGCCGGACAAGUUCAUUGCCUGCAGCAGCGGCAUGCCGUUGCCGAUGUCCGCGGGGAGCUCGCCGUGGAGGUAGGCAAGUGACAAAUCGAGGUGCCGGAGCGAAGCGCAUCGGUACAGGCUGGUCGGAAAGGCGCUGGUGAUGUCGUUGUUGGAGAUGUUGAGGCUCGUGAGGCGGGAGAGGCCGCCGAUGGCGUCGGGGAACGGGCCGGCGACGCCGGUGUUGGCGAGGGAGAGGCUGGUGACGCGCCCGGAGGACGCGUCGCAGGUCACGUAGGGCCAGGUGCAGUGGUCGCUCGAGCCGUUCCAUGCCGCGAGCACGGGCGGGUCGCCCCACGCGCGCUUGAUCUGCAUCAGCGAAUGCCUCUCGUCGGCGGCCUGGGCGGCCGCGGGGUGCAGGAUGCAGCAGGGUAGCACGAGCAGUAGGAGGAGGGACGCGCGACAUGUCAAGGCCGCCAUGGCAAGGCAGUAGUAGGAGGCGGGUUGUUUUUUUUGUUUUUGUUUCGACAAACGUGCCUUUUAUAUUGUUUUAGAUGUACAGUAUUUAUUAAGAAAGCCCGAGGCUCCCACCAACCGUUGCGUCCGAUUAUCGUCGAUAAAUCGGUCACCAACCGUCGUGCAGGCGGACGCGUCUGCGGCCCGUCCGCGUCCGUCGGCGGGAAGUCUGCACCAGUUUAGCUGCUUUGCCUAGUGCGGCGUACAGUACCAGUUUAGCUGCUUUGCCUAGUCAGCUUUCACCGUCCAUCUGCGAGCUAGCAUGAACAUACUACAUCAUUGCUAGUUUUGUGUCAGUUUCACAAUCAGAUUUCAGUCCUGAACAUACAUCAGUGCUAGAUUGAACAUCAGAAUCAGGUUUCAGAAUCAGUCCUGAACAUACGUAUCAGAUUCAGGUUUCACAUUCAGUUUGCAAACUAGCUGCUUUUUCCGUGUGCAUACUCUUUUUUUUUUUAGCUUAGCACGCCGAUAUACUUGAGAAUACAGAAAGACUAAGAUCAACCCGGCAGCUCGCAGUCGAUUCAACUGAGCGAGCGGAAAGGGCAGGGCCAGGAGGUGCUCCUUCGGGACCAAGGAGGAGAACGCGGCGCUUCGCUUCGUUACGACUUAUGACGUAGCAGGCCUCGCAGGUCAUGUCCGCCAAGUCUGCUGCGUUUCUGCGGUCUGUCCGUGAAGCCGUUUACCUGAUUUAGACGGCUCGGACCAAGCGGGAACGAUGACUUCGGGGUGAUGGCAGUGACAUGGCUCGGCUCGUGGUCAGUGGUUUUCUUCACAUGGAUGAUGAUUCAAGUAGCGGACUGGCCGACAAAAGAUCAAUUCGUUCGAACAUCUCCAGGAGGAGGACUCACGCGUGGAGUCAGGAUUUGAACAAAGGGAGGCGAGUCACGACAAAAAGAAAAUAACAUGACAAAUCUGUACUUCCUAUAUAGUGUACCAAUAGCAAGUCAUAUGGACGGUUGGAUUUUUCCAAUCUGACGGCUCAAAUUUAAUGGCCUAUGAUACAGUACUACGUGGCUGCAUAUAGACCAUUGAAUAUGUCUGAAACCCACAUUGCAUGGAUUGGCUGUGCACUCAUUCCCUGUGCUGCGUGCGCGCCGUCUCGGAUGAAGUUUGUAGGAUGCACGUGAUCCUCCCAUCACUAUCCAGAAAUUUGUAGGAGCUACUCCCUCUGUACCACAAUACUUGUCGUUGUGCCCCAACGACAAGUAUUGUGGUACAGAGGGAGUAGAAUGCAUGCGGUAGUAGCUGGUUAGAUUUGUAAUACGUACAAUACUAUAGCGACAAGCAGGCUAUCAUGAUGAGAGAGAGAAAGAGAAGGCAUGCAGUAGAGCAGCGAGAAUAUCAGGUGAUACCGCCACUUAUAUGCUUCCAUGAUACCAAUUCAAAAGAAAAAUUAUACAAUUCAAAAAAUUCUGAAAGAAAUCAUGGAUGUUCGCAACAUAUGUGUCUACAAACCCUAAAAAAUCAGAUCCAAAUUCAAAUUGUACAACGAGAAACAAAAAAGAAAAAUUCAGCAUGAAUAGUGUCAAUAAAGACAAAACAUAAAUAGUGUGAAAACUACACUAUUCACAACAGAUUUGUCUUUUUUGUUUCUCAAUGUAUAUAUUGAAUCUGGAUCUGAAUUUUUUAGGGUUUGUAGACACAUAUGUUGAGAACAUUCAUGAUUCUUUUGGGAUUUUUUGAAACCUUUAAAUUUGAAUAUUUUUUGAAUUGGUAUCAUGAGAGCAUAUAAGUGUUGGUAUCAUGGGGCAUAGUCACAUAAACUGGAAAACGAUUUUCUACCGUGGAAGCAAUUUAACGGAUUAAAGAAUGACAAAAAAACAAUGUAAGAUGUGUCACAACUAAUAUUUUUUUACUUUCUGAAAUAAUUCAUUUUACAAAUGUUAUUACCCUUGUUUUUCUUUGAUUUUAUCAAUCAAGUCUAAUUUUUUUAUCAACCAAAGAAACAUAAUAAAUGUUUGAAUAAUUAUUUUAUUCGUAAUGAUGAAUAACUUGCAACAUAGUACUCUUCCGAGCUAUUGAAUUCUUUAUAUAUUUAUAAUUUUAAUCAUUUAGAUAAGGGGAAACAUGCCAUGCAUCGUCAUGAUGCACAUAACCAAAUAUGAAAAGACCACAACCGGUCAGAAAAAAAGAUUUCAUGACUUGACCACCUUUAUAAUUAAUACCUGAUUAUUUGAAGAGUUGCAUGACUGUAUCCAUGGUAGUUCAAAUCAUGAUACUUAAUAUUACAUACACAUAUGUGUGUUUAUAACUAUCUCUACACAUGGCAAAUCAAACUGUGGUUGGAUGAUUAGGAGGACAGUGGUAUCUCAGCCCACCGGGGUGACACUCGUACUCGCAUUUUUCUGAAUUUAUUCCAGUCCUUCUGGCAAUAUGUGUUCAGUGGAAGGAGACGUUCCCGUCGACUACGAAGGCAUCUGUCGUGACUUCAUCAAUCUCAAGAUGAUGUUUCGGUUCAGUCUAUUGGAGGUACUCAUAGGGUUAGCAUGUGCGUGCGUGUGUUCAUAGAGGUGAUGAAUGUACGUGUGUGUAUAUAUGAGUGUCUGCGUGCACUGAUUUAAGAAAAUAUCUCUACAUGUGCAUGGCACGUGUGAUUUACUAGUAUAUUGAAUGUCUCUAAUAAAUUAUACGGUCAGUGGGACAUUUUUUUCUUUUUACAUUUGUACUACUUGAAAUUUGGUGCGCGUAUAAUUGGUUCAAACGAACAUACAAUUUUCCACUUCAUGACUACACAAACACAAACACAAUUGACAAAAAAAUAAAUGUAAAUGAUAUAAUCAAUGCACAAUCCCUAAUUUGCAGUACCGAUCUAACUAAUUCAUCUAAAUCAAAUCAAGAAACUGUUGCAUCCUAAUCUCGAAUUUUGCAUCUGUAACAUAGUACUCCUUGCGCGUAGUACAAAACAAUGGGGAGACUGACCGUAGGAUUUUCUUGCGCGUCGGUAGACAUGGUCGUCGGGCGCCACAUGACACCUUCGCCCGUUGCCGCUGGUCCGGAUUGGUUGUGCAGUGCCGCCGCCGGCAACACUUCGCCCAACUAGCCCUAGACGCGCGCACGUAGCGAGUAAUGCGGCAGCGCCGAAAGAGUAAAUAGAUCUUUUUGAGAAUCUAAAACAGUUAAUAGAUGAGAGCCUGAAGUCGGCGGGCGCGGGGGCUGGCCCCCACUUGUCCCCCCUUGGGCUCCGCCACUGUUGGAGGGGGUGCAACACGCAACAUGAGGGCAUGAACUAUGGAGGCAUCAUCAUGCCACUGCCUCAACAUUUCACAUAGAUAAAAAUAACUAAAGCCAUGGUUUAGUUUUACCUUCAUCCAUUGGUAGCAGUAGUAUUGUUCCUCGAUUCAACAACUCUUCCUUUUAUACGAUACAAUAGUGUGGUUCUGUUGGUUGUUAUCCUAUCCUUCCUCAUUGGUUGCCUCAUCACCUUUGUUAGGGUUGAUUCAAGGCAGUGCAUGAAGGAAAUAUGCCCUAGAGGCAAUAAUAAAGUUAUUAUUUAUUUCCUUAUAUCAUGAUAAAUGUUUAUUAUUCAUGCUAGAAUUGUAUUAACCGGAAACAUAAUACAUGUGUGAAUACAUAGACAAACAUAGUGUCACUAGUAUGCCUCUACUUGACUAGCUCGUUGAUCAAAUAUGGUUGUGUUUCCUAACCAUAGACAUGAGUUGUCAUUUGAUUAACGGGAUCACAUCAUUAGGAGAAUGAUGUGAUUGACUUGACCCAUUCCGUUAGCUUAGCACUUGAUCGUUUAGUAUGUUGCUAUUGCUUUCUUCAUGACUUAUACAUGUUCCUACAACUAUGAGAUUAUGCAACUCCCAUUUACCGGAGGAACACUUUGUGUGCUACCAAAUGUCACAACGCAACUGAGUGAUUAUAAAGGAUCUCUACAGGUGUCUCCGAAGGUACAUAUUGAGUUGGCGUAUUUCGAGAUUAGGAUUUGUCACUCCGAUUGUCGGAGAGGUAUCUCUGGGCCCUCUCGGUAAUGCACGUCACUAUAAGCCUUGCAAGAAAUGUAACUAAUGAGUUAGUUACGGGAUGAUGCAUUACGUAACGAGUAAAGAGACUUACCGGUAACGAGAUUGAACUAGGUAUUGGGAUAUCGACGAUCAAAUCUCGGGCAAGUAACAUACUGAGAAAGGGAACAACGUAUGUUGUUAUGCGGUUUGACCGAUAAAAAUCUUCGUAGAAUAUGUGGGAGCCAAUAUGAGCAUCCAAGUUCCGCUAUUGGUUAUUGACCGGAGACGUGUCUUGGUCAUGUCUACAUAGUUCUCGAACCCGUAGGGUCCGCAUGCUUAAAGUUAGAUGACGGUUAUAUUAUGAGUUUAUAGGUUUUGAUGUACCGAAGAUAGUUCAGAGUCCCGGAUGUGAUCACGUACAUGACGAGGAGUCUCGAAAUGGUCGAGACAUGAAGAUUGAUAUAUUGGACGACUAUAUUCGGACACCGGAAUAGUUUCGGGGUUUAUCGGACGUAUACCGGAGUACCGGGGGGGUUACCGGAACCCCCCGGGGGGGUUAAUGGGCCUCAUGGGCCCAAAGUGGAGCAGAGGAGGGGCGGCCAUGGCAGGCCGCACGUCCCCUCCCCCUCUAGUCCGAAUAGGACAAGGAGGGGGGCGGCGCCCCCCUUUCCUUCCUCUCCUCUCUCCCCUUCCUUCCCCCUCUCCUACUUGGACAAGGAAAGGAGGGAGUCCUACUCUCGGUGGGAGUAGGACUCCUCCUUGGCGUGCCUCCUCCUGGCCGGCCGCCCCCUCCCCCUUGCUCCUUUAUAUACGGGGGCAGGGGCACCUCUAGACACAAUAAUUGAUCCUUGAGAUCUAUUAGCCGUGUGCGGCGCCCCCCUCCACUAUAUUCCACCUCGAUAAUAUCGUAGCGGUGCUUAGGCGAAGCCCUGCAUCGGUAGAGCAUCAUCAUAGUUACCACGCCGUCGUGCUGACGGAACUCUCCCUCGAAGCUCGGCUGGAUCGGAGUUCGAGGGACGCCAUCGAGCUGAACGUGUGCUAAACUCGGAGGUGCCGUGCGUUCAGUACUUGAUCGGUCGGAUCGUGAAGACGUACGAUUACAUCAACCGCGUUGUGCUAACGCUUCCGCUUUUGGUCUAUGAGGGUACGUGGACAACACACUUCUCUCUCAUUGCUAUGCAUCACCAUGAUCUUGCGUGUGCGUAGGAUUUUUUUUGAAAUUACUACAUUCCCCAUCAGUGGCAUCCGAGCCUGGUUUUAUGCGUAGAUGUUAUAUGCACGAGUAGAACACAAGUGAGUUGUGGGCAAUGCAAGUCAUACUGCUUACCAGCAUGUCAUACUUUGGUUCGGCGGUAUUGUUGGAUGAAGCGGCCCGGACCGACAUUACGCGUACGCUUACGCGAGACUGGUUCUACCGACGUGCUUUGCACAUAGGUGGCUGGCGGGUGUCAGUUUCUCCAACUUUACUUGAAUCGAGUGUGGCUACGCCCGGUCCUUGAGAAGGUUAAAACAACACUAACUUGACGAACUAUCGUUGUGGUUUUGAUGUGUAGGUAAGAAUGGUUCUUGCUCAGCCCGUAGCAGCCACGUAAAACUUGCAACAACAAAGUAGAGGACGUCUAACUUGUUUUUGCAGGGCAUGUUGUGAUGUGAUAUGGUCAAGACGUGAUGCUAUAUUUUAUUGUACGAGAUGAUCAUGUUUUGUAACCGAGUUAUCGGCAACUGGCAGGAGCCAUAUGGUUGUCAUUUUAUUGUAUGCAAUGCAAUCGCCAUGUAAUUGCUUUACUUUAUCACUAAGCGGUAGCGAUAGUCAUAGAAGCAAUAGGUGGAGAAACGACAACGAUGCUACGAUGGAGAUCAAGGUGUCGCGCCGGUGACGAUGGUGAUCAUGAUGGUGCUUCGGAGAUGGAGAUCACAAGCACAAGAUGAUGAUGGCCAUAUCAUAUCACUUAUAUUGAUUGCAUGUGAUGUUUAUCCUUUAUGCAUCUUAUUUUGCUUUGAUUGAUGGUAGCAUUAUAAGAUGAUCUCUCACUAAAUUUCAAGGUAUAAGUGUUCUCCCUGAGUAUGCACCGUUGCGAAAGUUCUUCGUGCUGAGACACCACGUGAUGAUCGGGUGUGAUAGGCUCUACGUUCAAAUACAACGGGUGCAAAACAGUUGCACACGCGGAAUACUCAGGUUAAACUUGACGAGCGUAGCAUAUACAUAUAUGGCCUGGGAACACUGAGACUGAAAGGUCGAGCGUGAAUCAUAUAGUAGAUAUGAUCAACAUAAUGAUGUUCACCAUUGAAAACUACUCCAUCUCACGUGAUGAUCGGACAUGGUUUAGUUGAUUUGGAUCACGUGAUCACUUAGAUGAUUAGAGGGAUGUCUAUCUAAGUGGGAGUUCUUAGUAAUAUGAUUAAUUGAACUUAAAUUUACCAUGAACUUAGUACCUGAUAGUAUUUUGCUUGUCUAUGUUUGUUGUAGAUAGAUGGCUCGUGCUGUUGUUCCGUUGAAUUUUAAUGCGUUCCUUGAGAAAGCUAAGUUGAAAGAUGAUGGUAGCAAUUACAUGGACUGGGUCCGUAACUUGAGGAUUAUCCUCAUUGCUACACAGAAGAAUUACGUCCUGGAAGCACCGCUGGGUGCCAGGCCUGCUGCAGAUGCAACUAACGACCUUAAGAACGUCUGGCAGAGCAAAGCUGAUGACUACUCGAUAGUUCACUGUGCCAUGCUUUACGGCUUAGAACCGGGACUUCAACGACGUUUUGAACGUCAUGGAGCAUAUGAGAUGUUCCAGGAGUUGAAGUUAAUAUUUCAAGCAAAUGCCCGAAUUGAGAGAUAUGAAGUCUCCAAUAAGUUCUAUAGCUGCAAGAUGGAAGAGAAUAGUUCUGUCAGUGAACAUAUACUCAAAAUGUCUGGGUAUAAUAAUCACUUGAUUCAACUGGGAGUUAAUCUUCCUGAUGAUAGUGUCAUUGACAGAAUUCUUCAAUCACUGCCACCAAGCUACAAGAGCUUCGUGAUGAACUAUAAUAUGCAAGGGAUGAACAAGACUAUUCCCGAGCUCUUCGCAAUGCUAAAAGCUGCGGAGGUAGAAAUAAAAAAGGAGCAUCAAGUGUUGAUGGUCAACAAGACCACCAGUUUCAAGAAAAAGGGUAAAGGGAAGAAGAAGGGGAACUUCAAAAAGAACGGCAAACAAGUUGUUGCUCAAGAGAAGAAACCCAAGUCUGGACCUAAGCCUGAGACUGAGUGCUUCUACUGCAAGCAGACUGGUCACUAGAAGUGGAACUGCCCCAAGUAUUUGGCAGAUAAGAAGGAUGGCAAGGUGAACAAAGGUAUAUGUGAUAUACAUGUUAUUGAUGUGUACCUUACUAAUGCUCGCAGUAGUACCUGGGUAUUUGAUACUGGUUCUGUUGCUAAUAUUUGCAACUCGAAAUAGGGACUACAUAUUAAGCGAAGAUUGGCUAAGGACGAGGUGACGAUGCGCGUGGGAAAUGGUUCCAAAGUUGAUGUGAUCGUAGUCGGCACGCUACCUCUACAUCUACCUUUGGGAUUAGUUUUAGACCUGAAUAAUUGUUAUUUGGUGCCAGCGUUAAGCAUGAACAUUAUAUCUGGAUCUUGUUUGAUGCGAGACGGUUAUUCAUUUAAAUCAGAGAAUAAUGGUUGUUCUAUUUAUAUGAGUAAUAUCUUUUAUGGUCAUGCACACUUGAAGAGUGGUCUAUUUUUAUUGAAUCUCGAUAGUAGUGAUACACACGUUCAUAAUGUUGAAGCCAAAAGAUGCAGAGUUGAUAAUGAUAGUGCAACUUAUUUGUGGCACCGCCGUUUGGGUCAUAUUGGUGUAAAGCGCAUGAAGAAACCCCAUACUGAUGGACUUUUGGAAUCACUUGAUUAUGAAUCACUUGGUACUUGCGAACCAUGCCUCAUGGGCAAGAUGACUAAAACGCCGUUCUCCGGAACUAUAGAGCGAGCAACAGAUUUGUUUUGGAAAUCAUACAUACUGAUGUAUGUGGUCCAAUGAACAUUGAGGCUCGCGGUGGGUAUCGUUAUUUUCUCACCUUCACAGAUGAUUUAAACAGAUAUGGGUAUAUCUACUUAAUGAAACAUAAGUCUGAAACAUUUGAAAAAUUCAAAGAAUUUCAGAAUGAAGUGGAAAAUCAUUGUAACAAGAAAAAUAAAAUUCAUACGAUCUAAUCGUGGAGGAGAAUAUUUGAGUUACGAGUUUGGUUUACAUUUGAAACAAUGCGGAAUAGUUUCACAACUCACGCCACCUGGAACACCAUAAUGUAAUGGUGUGUCCGAAUGUCGUAAUCGUACUUUACUAGAUAUGGUGCGAUCUAUGAUGCCUCUUACUGAUUUACUGUUAUCGUUUUGGGGUUAUGCUUUAGAGACGGCCGCAUUCACGUUAAAUAGGGCACCAUCAAAAUCCGUUGAGACGACGCCUUAUGAACUGUGGUUUGGCAAGAAACCAAAGUUGUCGUUUCUUAAAGUUUGGGGCUGCGAUGCUUAUGUGAAGAAACUUCAACCAGAUAAGCUCGAAUCCAAAUUGGAGAAAUGUGUCUUCAUAGGAUACCCAAAGGAGACUAUUGGGUACACCUUCUAUCACAGAUCUGAAGGCAAGACUUUUGUUGCUAAAUUUGGAUCCUUUCUAGAGAAGGAGUUUCUCUUGAAAGAAGUGAGUUGGAGGAAAGUAGAACUUGAUGAGGUAACUGUACCUGCCCCCUUGGAAAAUAGUUUAUCACAGAAACCGGUUCCUAUGACGACUACACCAAUUAGUGAGGAAGCUAAUGAUAUUGAUCAUGAAACUUCAAAUCAAGUUACUACCGACCCUCGUAGGUCAAUUAGAGUAAGAUACGCACCAGAGUGGUAUGGUAAUCCUAUUCUGGAAGUCAUGUUACUUGACCAUGGCGAACCUACAAACUAUGAGGAAGCGAUGAUGAGCCCAGAUUCCGCAAAAUGGCUUGAGGCCAUGAAAUCUGAGAUGGGAUCCAUGUAUGAGAAGAAAGUAUGGACUUUGGUUGACUUGCCUGAUGAUCGGCAAGCCAUCAAAAAUAAAUGGAUCUUCAAGAAGAAGACUGACGCUGAUGGUAAUGUUACUGUCUACAAAGCUCGGCUUGUUGCGCAAGGUUUUCGACAAGUUCAAGGAGUUGACUACGAUGAGACUUUCUCACCCGUAGUGAUGCUUAAGUCUGUCCGAAUCAUGUUAGCAAUUGCCGCAUUUUAUGAUUAUGAAAUAUGGCAAAUGGAUGUCAAAAUUGCAUUCCUGAAUGGAUUUCUAGAAGAAGAGUUGUAUAUGAUGCAACCAGAAGGUUUUGUCGAUCCAAAAGGUGCUAACCAAGUGUGCAAGCUCCGGCGAUCCAUUUAUGGACUGGUGCAAACCUCUCGGAGUUGGAAUAAACGCUUUGAUAGUGUGAUCAAAGCAUAUGGUUUUAUAGAGAAUUUUGGAGAAGCCUCUAUUUACAAGAAAGUGAGUGGGAGCUCUGUAGCAUUUCUGAUAUUAUAUGUAGACGACAUAUUGUUGAUUGGAAAUGAUAUAGAAUUUCUGGAUAGCAUAAAAGGAUACUUGAAUAAAAGUUUUUCAAUGAAAGACCCCGGUGAAGCUGCUUAUAUAUUGGGCAUCAAGAUCUAUAGAGAUAGAUCAAGACGCUUAAUUGGACUUUCACAAAGCACAUACCUUGAUAAAGUUUUGAAAAAGUUCAAAAUGGAUCAAGCAAAGAAAGGGUUCUUGCCUGUAUUACAAGGUGUGAAGUUGAGUCAUACUCAAUGCCCGAACACAGCAGAAGAUAGAGAGAAAAUGAAAGAUGUUCCCUAUGCUUCAUCCAUAGGCUCUAUCAUGUAUGCAAUUCUGUGUGCCAGACCUGAUGUAUGCUUAGCAAUAAGUUUAGCAGGGAGGUACCAAAGUAAUCCAGGAGUGGAUCACUGGACAGAGGUCAAGAAUAUCCUGAAAUACCUGAAAAGGACUAAGGAUAUGUUUCUUGUUUAUGGUGGUGACAAAGAGCUAGUCAUAAAUGGUUACGUCGAAGCAAGCUUUGACACUGAUCCGGACGAUUCUAAAUCGCAAACCGGAUAUGUGUUUAUAUUGAAUGGUGGAGCUGUCAGUUGGUGCAGUUCUAAACAAAGCGUCGUGGCGGGAUCUACAUGUGAAGCGGAGUACAUAGCUGCUUCAGAAGCAGCAAAUGAAGGAGUCUGGAUGAAGGAGUUCAUAUCCUAUCUAGGUGUCAUACCUAGUGCAUCGGGACCAAUGAAAAUCUUCUGUGAUAAUACUGGUGCAAUUGCCUUGCAAAGGAAUCCAGAUUUCACAAGAGGACCAAGCACAUCAAGAGACGCUUCAAUUCCAUUUGGGACCAAGUCCAGGUGGGAGACAUAGAGAUUUGCAAGAUACAUACGGAUCUGAAUGUUACAGACCCGUUGACGAAGCAGAAAUGUAACGAAUGAGUUAGUUACGGGAUGAUGCAUUACGUAACGAGUAAAGAGACUUACCGGUAACGAGAUUGAACUAGGUAUUGGGAUAUCGACGAUCAAAUCUCGGGCAAGUAACAUACUGACAAAGGGAACAACAUAUGUUGUUAUGCGGUUUGACCGAUAAAAAUCUUCGUAGAAUAUGUGGGAGCCAAUAUGAGCAUCCAAGUUCCGCUAUUGGUUAUUGACCGGAGACGUGUCUCGGUCAUGUCUACAUAGUUCUCGAACCCGUAGGGUCCGCACGCUUAAAGUUAGAUGACGGUUAUAUUAUGAGUUUAUAUGUUUUGAUGUACCGAAGAUAGUUCGGAGUCCCGGAUGUGAUCACAGACAUGACGAGGAGUCUCGAAAUGGUCGAGACAUGAAGAUUGAUAUAUUGGAUGACUAUAUUCGGACACCGGAAUAGUUUCGGGGGUUAUCGGAUGUAUACCGGAGUACCGGGGGGUUACCGGAACCCCCCGGGGGGUUAAUGGGCCUCAUGGGCCCAAAGUGGAGCAGAGGAGGGGCGGCCAGGGCAGGCCGCGCGCCCCCUCCCCCUCUAGUCCGAAUAGGAUAAGGAGGGGGGUGCCCCCCUUUCCUUCCUCUCCUCUCUCCCCUUCCUUCCCCCUCUGAAAGUGCAACUAUCCCUAGGUGGUUUUGGUAAUUCAUAACAACAUAUAGCUCAUUGAGCUAAUGCUAUUCCAAGACUAUUAUUUCAAGAAAGCUCAAUGAAUGGCAUGUCAUGGAUGAUUAAAGUGGAUCCCUCAAAAUACUAAGGACAAAGGAUUGGCUCAAGACUCUUCAUUUUAUAUUUUAGUGAUCUAAGAUUACAUUGAGUCUAUAGGAAAAGCCAAUACUAUCAAGGAGGGAUGAGGUGUUGCUUAAUGAGCCUCUUGCUUCAUGUGCUUAGUGAUAUGCUCCAAAACCCUCAGCUGCUUUCUCACAUCCACAAAUGACCUAAACCCAAAGCCAAAAUCGGUCACACCGAUUCUUCCUAUCCGGCGCCACCGAUUUCAAAAGUCAUAGCCACUGCCACAAACCCUAGGUAGAUCGGUUCUACCGACAGGGAUCUCGGUCUCACUGAGAUGGGACUGUAAUCUUUUUGUUUCCCUUCGUAACGUUUUGGUCUAACCGAAAUGAGCGAUCGGUCCCACCGAGAUUGCAAUGUAAAUUCUCUGUUUCCCUUUUGUAACAUUUCGGUCUCACCGAAAAGAGCAAAUCGGUCCCACCGAGUUUACCUGACCAACUCUCUGGAAAGCUUAUUACCAGAAUUGGUCUCACCGAGUUUGUGUAAUCGGUCUUAUCGAGAUUACGUUAUGCCCUAACCCUAACUGAAUCGGUCUCACCGAGUUGCAUGUCAGUCCCACCGAAAAUCACUAAUGGUCACUAGGUUUACUAAAUCGGUCCGACCGAGUCUGUUGAAUCGGUCCCACCCAGUUUGGUAAAUUGUGUGUAACGGUUAGAUUUUGUGUGGAGGCUAUAUAUACCCCUCCACCUCCUCUUCAUUCGUGGAGAGAGCCAUCAGACUAAACCUACACUUCCAACUUACCAUUUCUGAGAGAGAACCACCUACUCAUGUGUUGAGGCCAAGAUAUUCCAUUCGUACCAUAUGAAUCUUGAUCUCUAGCCUUCCCCAAGUUGCUUUCCACUCAAAUCUUCUUUCCACCAGAUCCAAAACCUAUGAGAGAGAGUUGAGUGUUGGGGAGACUAUCAUUUGAAGCACAAGAGCAAGGAGUUCAUCAUCAACACACCAUUUGUUACUUCUUGGAGAGUGGUGUCUCCUAGAUUGGCUAGGUGUCACUUGGGAGCCUCCGACAAGAUUGUGGAGUUGAACCAAGGAGUUUGUAAGGGCAAGGAGGUCGCCUACUUCGUGAAGAUCUACCGCUAGUGAGGCAAGUCCUUCAUGGGUGACGGGCAUGGUGGGAUAGACAAGAUUGCUUCUUCGUCGACCCUUCGUGGGUGGAGCCCUCCGUGGACUCGUGCAACCAUUACCCUUCGUGGGUUGAAGUCUCCAUCAACGUGGAUGUACGAUAGCACCACCUAUCGGAACCACGCCAAAAACAUCCGUGUCUCCAAUUGCGUUUGAAUCCUCCAAACCCUUCCCUUUACUUUCUUGCAAGUUGCAUGCUUUAAUUUCCGCUGCCCAUAUACUCUUUGCAUGCUUGCUUGAUUUGUGUGAUGAUUGCUUGACUUGUCCUAAGAUAGCUAAAAUCUGCCACACUCUAAAAUUGGGAAAAGGUUAAGUUUUUAAUUGGUCAAGUAGUCUAAUCACCCCCCUCUAGACACACUUCAAGGUCCUACAAGUGGUAUCAGAGCUUUGGUCUCCAUUUGCUUUGAUUUCCAUAGCUUUUGGUGGUCAUAGCCUUGGUUUCACAACCUAGGAGAGUAUGGCAUCUAGCGAGGGAAAUUAUCACCGUAGAGGUCCUUACUUUGAUGGUACUAAUUUUGCUAGUUGGAAGCAUAAGAUGAAAAUGCAUAUUCUCGGACAUAACCCCGCCGUUUGGGCAAUUAUUUGUAUUGGCUUGCAAGGUGAAUUCUUUGAUGGGAGAGAGCCGAACCGUGAAGCUAAUGCGUAAGAAUUGAAGAUGCUGCAAUAGAACUCUCAAGCUUGUGAUAUCAUCUUCAACGGAUUGUGCCCCGAAGAAUUCAACAAAAUCAGCCGUCUUGAGAAUGCAAAGGAAAUUUGGGAUACUUUAAUUGAUAUGCACGAAGGUACCGAAUCCGUCAAGGAAUCCAAGUUGGGUGUGCUCCAAAGUCAGCUUGACAAGUUCAAAAUGAAGGAUGGUGAAGGUGUCGUCGAAAUGUACUCUAGGCUUGCUCUUAUUACAAAUGAGAUUGCCGGCUUAGGGAGUGAAGAGAUGACCGACAGAUUCAUCAUCAAGAAGAUCCUAAGAGCAUUGGAUGGAAAGUAUGAUACCGUGUGCACAUUGAUCCAAAUGAUGCCAAACUACAAAGAUCUCAAGCCAACGGAAGUCAUUGGAAGAAUUUUUGCUCAUGAGAUGUCACUCAAGGAUAAGGAGGAACUUCACAACAAGUCAAGUGGUGCUUACAAAGCCUCAAGUGAAGCCCCCACAUCAUCAAGUGAGAAACAAACCUUCAAUGAAGAAUUGAGCUUAAUGGUGAAGAACUUCAACAAAUUCUACAAGAGUAGAAGCAAAGAAAGAAGCUCCAAGUCAAGGUCUUACCAUGACAAAAGAUCUUCUAGUCGAGAGCGCAAUUGCUACAAUUGUGGGAGACCUGGACACUAUUCCAAUGAGUGUACGACACCCUACAAAAGAAGAGAAGAUUCUCCAAGAAGAAGAAGCAAAAGAGAAGAAUCACCACCAAGAGAGAGGAUGAGUAGAGAUGAUCGUUAUGAACGAAGACCCUCACGGAGAAGCAAGGAUUCGGAAAGGAAGGACAAGUCAUCAAGGAACUACACAAAACGAAGACAUCAAGCUCAUGUUGGUGAAUGGGUAUCCGGCUCCGACUCCAACAAUCACUCCGAGAGAAGCUAUCACUCCGACUCCGAAUAUACUCAAGAUGAAGGUGUUGCCGGUCUAGCACUUGUGUCAACCAACUCCUACGACAUAUUUGAUUCACCAAAUGAAGGAAUUGGAAGAUGCUUCAUGGCCAAAUGUCCAAAGGUAACACAUCCUGAGUAUGUUGAUUUCAAUAGUGAUGAAGAUGACUUGCUUGUGGAUGAUGAUCUACUUGUUGACAACUCUAGUGAUGAAUACUAUGAUGAAACGUCAAUUAAUCAUGCUAAUCAAGAUAAAACGAAUGACAAUGAUAAGGAGAAGAUUGAGCUUCUAACUAAAGAACUAAACACUCUUAAGUUGGCUCAUGAAACUAUCUUCGAAGAUCAUCGAGAACUUUUAAGGGCUCAUGAGAAGUUACGCUUUGAAAAGCUCAAUCUUGAGCAAGAGCAUGAGUUCUUAAAAGCAAUCAAUGAUGAUCUCCAUAAGAAAAGUUCUUCUUACAUUGCCAAGCAUUUACUCUUAUCUACUUACAUGCCUCAAGUCAAGUCUAGUAACAAGUACAAGAAAGAUACUUCCUCUAGUAGUAACAAUAAUAAUGUCAAAUCCAAUAUUGUUGCUUCUAGUAGUUCUCUUGAUUCCACUAAUGAUUCUCUUAGCCAAGUUACACUUGAGCAAGAAAAUAGCUUAUUGAAGGUAAUUAUAGAGAAAGGUGUUUACAAGAGCCUUGCCGGGAGUAAGCAAUUUGAGGAAAUUGUACGCAAGCAAGGAAGGCACCGGAAGAAUCAAGGUGUUGGUUUUGAACGAAAGUUCAAUGCCAAUGGAGUUGAGUGGGAAGAAGAUCAAUACCCCAAGACGAAGUUUGUUCCUCAACAAGAGAAGUAUGAUCCUACUUCCUUCAAGGGAACACAAGCACAAGAUGAUCUUCCACCACAAUACCACAAGAACAAAGGCAAGGACAAUAUUCAAGAAGAGAUUGAUGCAUUUGAAGAAGCACCUAAGGCCUCGUUCAAGUGGGUUCCCAAGACUACCUCAAGUUCUACCUCAUCAAGUACAACUACAACUCCAAGGAUUCCCAUCAAGAUGAUGUGGAUCCCGAAGAAGAAGAACUAGAGAGUUCUUGAGGGUGACUCCGCCAACAUUCUUCACUCAUAUCAUUAUGGCAAGAACAAGUGCAAUCAACUUCCACAUCUUGCACUAGUUCAAGGAGUCACACACCCUCAUGUUGGUAAGGCAAGGGACAAGGUAACCUAAUGAUUUCAUGGACAUCAUCUUGUGUGUGCAUCACUCUAUGUCUAUGGAUAUUCUUGUUUGUUCCUUGUGGGACUAACCCGUGUAGGUAAGUUGAAAGUGCAACUCACUCCAACGGAUUGCUCCAAAUGAUCUACAUCAACAUUGAGCAUCCACAUCUUCAACACCUACAUGAAGUCAUCAUCAACAAAACCCAAGGUUAGUUCAUCCCUCUAAGGGGGGAUCUCACAUCUAGGGGGAGCUUAACUCUAAGAAUUGAGUCAAAGCAACUCUAAUGGUGUGAACACAUCAAUGCAUUAUGUAAAAGUGGUAACCCCACUUGAGCUUAAACGAUGAGUAUGACCUAUGAUCAAAUGUACUCAUUUGACUCCUAAGUCAAUAUACUCAUAUAUAGAUGACCUAGUCAUCGCCAACUGUUUGAUAGAUGCUAGAAUUGGUUGUGCAUGUUUUGCCACAUAUUUCAUUUGCCAUCUCAUUGUGUGAGCAUGUUGGUGCAUAUUUUACUCAUUCAAGGACAUCCACUUGUUGUUUUGAUUGAUUUGCCUCUUUUUCUUUUUGCCAAGUGGAUGGACAAGAAUGCCUAAGAACCUUCUCUAGCUAUCUAUGCUUUUCUCGUCUCAAACUCUAUUCAUGCUACAUCACAAAAUUUGAUCAAGUCAUAUUCGAACCACUCUGUGUGAGGAGCACUCGGAGUCCCCGAUUUGUCAUAGACUUAAACUUCCAAAACUUCUUUGUGAUUCUCGGUCUGACCGAUUCCUCCAUUUCGGUCCUACCGAGAUCAUUAAGUCGAUCUAAGUUUUCAAUCUCGGUGCAACCGAUUUGAACUUUUCGGUCACACCGAGUUGCUGUAACUAUACAUAGUUAUGCAUCUCGGUGCCACCGAGUUGUUCCACUCGGUCACACCGACAGGGUCGGGCUAUAUAUAGUCACGGGCGAAAAUUUGGAAAUUCCUCCGAACCCCUUCGCCCGCGCAAUAGCUCGCUCUGCCUCCAAGGUCUCCGGAUCGUCUCCUCGUCGCCAGCCGCCUCCUGUCGCUGGUCUCCGCCACCGUCAACGGAAUUCAACCCCGCCGCCGUAGCGAGUUCAUCGCCGAGCUAGGGUAUGGACUUGAUCACUGUGCUAUCCUCGUCCGAUUCCUAGCACAUUGUGUUCUUAAUGAUUCUUGCCACGAUUGAAACACUCCUAUCCAGUCAAUGUAAUCCGUAGAUUAGAUGAGAUUCAAAAUUUUAGGGUUAGGUUUCCGCCGAAACCAUCUCGGACCCACCGAGUUGAAAAACUCAGUCCCACCGAUUUGGCUUAUGCCAUUGCACUAGUAACUCUCGGUCUAACCGAGAAUUGCUAAUCGGUGAGACCGAUUUUAGGACUUUGUGAAACCCUAGCAGUCUCGGUGUCACCGAACUGUGACUCGGUCCAACCGAGUUCAUCAGUUUAGGUUCCAAAACUGAUUCGGUAUCACCGAGUUUGAAAAUCGGUUGAUCCGAAAUGCUUUCUGUGGAAAACUAAAACUAAACUUUUGAAUCAUUCUUUUGCAAAAAUAUCUGCAUUUUUGUGAUGCUCAUCCACUCUAUCUCAUCUAUAACUCUUCACAGGGUCAGCAGUCAGUGUUUGCAGCAUGUCAGACCAGAGUGACAGCCAGAACAGGUCAGAAGAGCAGAUUGACAUGAGUCAGGGCACUAGUCCCUCCAGCACUUCAGAUGAAGGCAGCAGAAGCACUCCUAGCAACCUGCCUAAGGCUGCUACCAGGUAAAGGAAGAAGAGAACUUCAGACUCUGAAGAUGAGGAUUAUAGAGCUGAAGAGGAUGAGGCUACUUCCAAGAAAGUAGUGCUCAAAAAGGAGUAUGGCUCAGCAAAGAACACAAAGCCUGGACUGAAUAAGAAGGUUCCUGCCAAGAGGACACCUAUGCCCAAGGUCAGAAGGUCCACUCAAGUGCCAGAACAGACUGAACCCAAAGAGGCACCUGAAAAGAAAGUCACAUCUUCCAAACCCAAGAAAGUUCCCACUGGAGAAACAAUGAAGUUUACCAUUGAAUCAGAGGAUGAAGCUGCUCAGGAUAAGAAGAAGAAGAGAGCAAGAACCACAACUGCCCAUGUUCUUGGAAAGCCCUCAAUGAGAAGAGACUCUAAAGAGGAAGAAGAGGUUGUUGCACCAGCACCCAAGGCACCAAAGCUUAUGGGUGAUGCUAUUAGAUCAGGGGCUGCAACAUCUAAGCCCAAGGAAGCACCCAAAGCUGCCCCCAAGGCCAAGCUUGCACCAAAAAGGAAUACCAGGAGUAUUCUAGCUGCUGAGAAGAACAAGGCCCCAGUGCCUAAUGUUGCUGAUGAGGAAUAUGAAGAAGGACAGGUCCUAAGGAAGCUCAAGCCCAAGAUACCAGACCACAAUGAUGCCCAUCCUGUGGCUGAGGACAUGAACAUCAGAAGAGACUCAGGGUUGAGGCUAUGGAGGCUGACAGAUCCAUAUGCCGCAAGGAGAAGAACUGCUGUUGAUUACAGGUUCCAUACAAAGGAACAGUAGGACUUCUAUGAGACAAUCUUGUUGGACAAGAAGCCCAUAGUAUGUGAUAUGAGGUGGGUCGACUGGGACUACAUAAAGGAAAAUGAAGAGCACUAUCCUGGAGUGCAAGAUAGUUUUGUUGCUUGUGGAGUUGCAGAUUAUGUUGGGCAAAAGCUCACCAACUGGAAUGAUGAACUUAUCAUGCAAUUCUACUCCACAACACACUUCUAUCCAGAUGGGAGGAUAGUUUGGAUGUCUGAAGGUACAAGGUACCAGUCCACUGUUGAGGAAUGGGCAAGACUGAUCAAUGCCCCAAAGGAAAAUUAUGAUGACCUGGAUGUUUAUUCCAAGAAGAAGAUGGACCACAAUUCCAUGGCACACAUGUACAAGGAGAUCCCAGACAAAGCUGUUGAGACACAUAAGUUUGGUUCAGUCCACUUCAAGGCUGCCCACAAUCAAUUGGAUCCUAAGGCACACUCUAUUGCCUAAGUCUGGUGACCACAACAUGAUUAGAGGGCAUGCAAUCAACAUGUUGCAUUUGUUUGAUGUGCCUCAGAAAUUCAAGGUCAUGAGCCUUAUGGUUGAAACCAUUAAGAGGACUGCAGCAGAUCAGAAGAGGAGAUGUGGAUAUGCCCCUCAGAUUCAGGAGUUGAUUAACUCAAAGAAGGGAACAGGCAAAUAUCUAUUGGAUAAGGAACAUUUUCCACUUUAUUCAGACUUUGAGGACAAUGAGGUUGUCAUGAAUGAGAAUGAUCCAUCAUCUGUACAUGCUCAAGAGAAGAAGGAGAAGGCAAGGAAGGAGAAGGCUGCCAAGAUGCCAACUCAAGAGGAGGCAUCUGAGUAUUUCUUAAAGAACAAGCAGGAUCAGCUUGGUUACUUAAUAGCAUCAACACUGAGGAUUGAGAAGGGAUUGGCCACCCUCACUCAGAAUCAGGAGAGCUUGGAAAGAAUCAUGGAACUCAAAUUUCAUGAUCUUGAUGUCAAAGUAACUGAGAUUCAGUCAGUUAUGGAGCAGCUGCAGGAUGACAUGCAGGAGAGGCAGGGCAAGACUACCACUAAUGUGUUUGCCAGAGUGCCUAGAGCCCAGAGGUCAGUUGCAGUGCCUGUGAUAGACACUAGAGCAACAUCAUCUGCACCAGCUACAGCUCCUACAGCUCCAGUGCAACCAGCUCCAGCAUCAACUCCAGCACCCUCUACUUCAACUGAAGCCUUCAUUCUUGGAGUUAUCCGGACACCACCACCUGAAGAUCAAGCCUGAGAGACGAUCUAGAACUAUGCAUUUUCUAUGAACUUUUUGGUAACUUGUUGCCAAAGGGGAAAAAUGUAUAGAUCAUAGGCUUCGAGAGAGAGAGUGUUGCUUUUGUUCUCUCUUGAUUUGGUGGUUAAAACUUGUUUGCUUUUGAUUGCUUGAGAUACUAUGCUAUUCUUGUGAGACAUUGAUGAUCAUGUGUUUGAUCAUAAGCUACACUUAUGCAUGUUUGAUGAUAUUAUCUUAUCUAUCCUAUGUGAUCAUUCACCUUGCUUGGUGAUGAGUGCAUGUAUUCAAAUAUUUAUCAUUUUGAGCUCUCCACCAAGAUGUAUGUGACAUGGAAGAGUAACCCAUGAGCCUAAUUCCUUGUGCAUUUGCAGUCCAAAGAAAAUCUUAAACUAUGCACAAAUUUAGGGGCAGCUCUUGCUUAUCACAUACUUCUCAAAGCGAUGAUGUUCUUCAAUCUUAUUAUCAUUUGUCGAAGCUUUGAUCUAUAUGUUGUCAUCAAUUACCAAAAAGGGGGAGAUUGAAAGUGCAACUAUCCCUAGGUGAUUUUGGUAAUUCAUAACAACAUAUAGCUCAUUGAGCUAAUGCUAUUCCAAGACUAUUAUUUCAGGAAAGCUCAAUGAAUGGCAUGGCAUGGAUGAUAAAAGUGGAUCCCUCAAAAUACUAAGGACAAAGGAUUGGCUCAAGACUCUUCAUUUUAUAUUUUAGUGAUCCAAGAUCACAUUGAGUCUAUAGGAAAAGCCAAUACUAUCAAGGAGGGAUGAGGUGUUGCUUAAUGAGCCUCUUGCUUCAUGUGCUUAGUGAUAUGCUCCAAAACCCUCAGUUGCUUUCUCACAUCCACAAAUGACCUAAACCCAAAGCCAAAAUCGGUCACACCGAUUCUUCCUAUCCGGCGCCACCGAUUUCAAAAGUCAUAGCCACUGCCACAAACCCUAGGCAAAUCGGUUCUACCGAUAGGGAUCUCGGUCUCAUCGAGAUGGGAUUGUAAUCUCUCUGUUUCCCUUUGUAACGUUUCGGUCUAACCGAAGUGAGCGAUCGGUCCCACCAAGAUUGCAAUGUAAAUUCUCUGUUUCCUUUUGUAACAUUUCGGUCUCACCGAAAAGAGCAAAUCGGUCCCACCGAGUUUACCUGACCAACUCUCUGGAAAGCUUAUUACCAAAAUCGGUCUCACCGAGUUUGUGUAAUCGGUCUUACCGAGAUUACGUUAUGCCCUAACCCUAACCGAAUCGGUCUCACCGAGUUGCAUGUCAGUCCCACCGAAAAUCACUAACGGUCACUAGGUUUACUAAAUCGGUCCGACCGAGUCUGUUGAAUCGGUCCCACCGAGUUUGGUAAAUUGUGUGUGACGGUUAGAUUUUGUGUGGAGGCUAUAUAUACCCCUCCACCUCCUCUUCAUUCGUGGAGAGAGCCAUCAGACUAAACCUACACUUCCAACUUACCAUUUUUGAGAGAGAACCACCUACUCAUGUGUUGAGGCCAAGAUAUUCCAUUCCUACCAUAUGAAUCUUGAUCUCUAGCCUUCCCCAAGUUGCUUUCCACACAAAUCUUCUUUCCACCAGAUCCAAAACCUAUGAGAGAGAGUUGAGUGUUGGGGAGACUAUCAUUUGAAGCACAAGAGCAAGGAGUUCAUCAUCAACGCACCAUUUGUUACUUCUUGGAGAGUGGUGUCUCCUAGAUUGGCUAGGUGUCACUUGGGAGCCUCCGACAAGAUUGUGGAGUUAAACCAAGGAGUUUGUAAGGGCAAGGAGAUUGCCUACUUCGUGAAGAUCUACCGCUAGUGAGGCAAGUCCUUCAUGGAUGAAGGCCAUGGUGGGAUAGACAAGGUUGCUUCUUCGUGGACCCUUCGUGGGUGGGGCCCUCCGUGGACUCGCGCAACCGUUACCCUUCGUGGGUUGAAGUCUCCAUCAAUGUGGAUGUACGAUAGCACCACCUAUCGGAACCACGCCAAAAACAUCCGUGUCUCCAAUUGCGUUUGAAUCCUCUAAACCAUUCUCUUUACUUCCUUGCAAGUUGCAUGCUUUAAUUUCCGCUGCCCAUAUACUCUUUGCAUGCUUGCUUGAUUUGUGUGAUGAUUGCUUGACUUGUCCUAAGAUAGCUAAAAUCUGCCACACUCUAAAAUUGGGAAAAGGUUAAGUUUUUAAUUGGUCAAGUAGUCUAAUCACCCCCCUCUAGACAUACUUCAAGGUCCUACACCCUCUCCUACUUGGACAAGGAAAGGAGGGAGUCCUACUCUCGGUGGGAGUAGGACUCCUCCCUGGCGCGCCUCCUCCUAGCCGACCGCCCCCUCCCCCUUGCUCCUUUAUAUACGGGGGCAGGGGGCACCUCUAGACACAACAAUUGAUCCUUGAGAUCUAUUAGCUGUGUGCGGUGCCCCCCUCCACUAUAUUACACCUCGAUAAUAUCAUAGUGAUGCUUAGGCGAAGCCCUCGUCGGUAGAGCAUCAUCAUCAUCACCACGCCGUCGUGCUGAUGGAACUCUCCCUCGCAGCUCUGCUGGAUCGGAGUUCGAGGGACGUCAUCGAGCUGAACGUGUGCUGAACUCGGAGGUGCCGUGCGUUCGGUACUUGAUCGGUCGGAUCAUGAAGACGUACGACUACAUCAACCGCAUUGUGCUAACGCUUCCGCUUUCGGUCUACGAUGGUACAUGGACAACACUCUCCCCUCUCGUUGCUAUGCAUCACCAUGAUCUUGCGUGUGCGUAGGAUUUUUUUUGAAAUUACUACGUUCCCCAUCAGUGCACACAUGAGAGCCUGAAGUCAGCGGGCACGGGGUAACAUGGCCAGCUACAUGGAGUCAUGUUGAAGGUGGAGCUGGAGUCUGACGGAGGACUUCACUCGGUGCUAAUGGAGGGGCUAUGGUGUAAGAUGUCGAAAAAUUAGAGUCUGUUUCAACGGUUAAAAGAGAGAGACAUGUGGAUCGGACUUGGGGCGGAUGGUCUGAUUAAAACAUGAUACUCUACAUUGGUCGGUGAUGAUCAGAGGUUCUUUAUAGUAGGGGUUGAGGCAUUGUCGGCUAGCUACCCAGGAGACUCAGCUGGUAUAGCACAGGCUCGACGUGGUGAUCAUGACGAGCGUUGAUGUGAGAACAAGACACAGUGACAGACCAAUGCACUAGUAGUAAGGCAAAGUGUGGAAAAGGUGCUAAAGUAGUGUUGGCGAGUACCAGGUUUAAGUUGGUGACUGGGUCUAUUGGUACCUGAAGAUGAACAUGAGUUAACCAUGAAGAAUCUGAGGAAGUGACGGAAAGUCUGAAGUUGUCAAAAAUUGAGAGAGUACGCGGUCGUAUAUUAUGUGGUGUUCAGUGCAUAUGGCAAGGUGCAGAUGACAAGUGCAGAAGAAGGCGGAGUGCUAUAGCUUUGGGACAUGUAAAGUCUAUACAGAAGAAAGGGUGAGACAACUACGAAUUUGACUCAGAGUGACACUAGAUGACGGUAAAAUUCCUUCAAGUUUCAGACAUCAAUGGAGAAAGAGCUAGGAUAUUGAGUUUGGGGAACUCUUAUAUGUGGCGUCCAAAAUGUGAGUCAUUCACUUUCAGAAACAAAUAUUUCAGAAAUUGGGGACGCAAACUAGAGUAAAGGAGUAACUUAAUUUUGCUCGAGAGUUGAUGGUGAAGAAGACAAGACGGAACUACAAUUGUAGGUGUAGUCACAUCGAGUCUGGAAGUAGCAGCAGUGUUCAUGGUAAAAAAAUUAGUUUAAUGUACAUGAAAGUUUGAUGCAUGCAUGAAUCGGUGGAGAAUAUUUGUCAAGGUGGAGUUUGUUGAAAUUGUGUUGAAUAUGUUUAUACAUGGUACUCCCUCUGUGAAAAAAUAUAAGAGCGUUUAAAUCACUAGGGAGUAGGUUACAUUAGACUUGAGUAGUACGGUGUGUAGCCAGGGUAUGGUGUAGUGUCCCAGUGUGACUUGCAUCCUAGAUCUUUAUAUAAUAUGGGAGUAGACACAUGUUAUAACAUAUGCCCAACAUAAUAACAUAAACACACAAGGGAGCGGGCGGCAUGUGCUGGCACCCAGAUGGUUGGUGUGCGAUAUUGUGACGGUGUCAUGCGGAGGAGCGUCCGUAAUCCUACCCCGGGGAUGUAGCCGUAUUGGUGAAGCUCGUUAACAAAUCUCAAUGUCGUGGCUUGUGUGCUUGCUUGGUCUUCAAAUGGCCCUCAAAUAUGAAGUCUCGUGAUUCCUAUGUAGCGUGCUCCAUAAAUUAUGACAACUCAGGGUUUGAUGACGACUCUAUCAGAGUGGCCUUUUUGGUCAAAGUCGUCAUAUAUUCACGGUGAUCAGGCCGAUAUGCUAACUCUAGAGUUGCUGUAAGUUGGGGUCGCUUGCUUGAGAAGUGACGAAACCGAUGACUAUGUGGACAAGACUUUUCUCCAUGGUGGUGUAUGACGCAUCUUGAGUGUGCCAUCUUCCCCAACCUCAUAAACUGUUCACACCUGGACAUCGUCGUUCUGGAUUGGAAAGUCGGAGGCUGGAAACAGUGCAUUUGCUCUUAUUUCUUGAGAGAACGGAAACUAUGUAUAGUUUACACAACCUUCCCUGAAGAAAAAAUUAAUGGUUUUGGACUUGACUCCACUGGUCCAAGUAGUCGCUUUCCGAACUGAUCCUGUCUCUAACGGCGUGCUUCGUCACCGACUCGAACGCAAUGGCAAAGUGGCCCACCAAUGAUCGACUUGCGCUCAGGCACUUUGGGUUGGGUUGGGAUUUCUCAAAAAAAAAAAUGCACUUUGGGUUGGGUGGUCAAACGAAGAAAAAUCUUGGAUAGAGCAAAUGCAAAUAUAGAGGUCUUUUUUUUAGACGCGGACAUGGGAGUGGAGACAUCAGACUGACUAGCGGAGCUUCUUUUUUUUUAGACGCGGACAUGGUGAGGGGAGACAUCAGACAUGACUAGCGGAGCUUCUUUUUUUUAGACGCGGACAUGAUGAGGGGAGACAUCAGACAUGACUAGCGGAGCUUCUUUUUUUAGACACGGACAUGGUGUCGGGCGUGCCGGCCUGCAUCAGCAUCCUGGCCAGCCCGAAGUCUGCGACCUUGGUUCGGAACUCGUAGUCCAGCAAGAUGUUGCUGGUCUUGACGUUCCGGUGAACGAUGGGCUGGGAGCACUCGUGGUGCAUGUAGCAGUGCCCCUGCGCGGCGCCGAUGGCGACUAUGAUCCUCGUGGGCCAGUCCAAACCACCCUCCAUGGACGACGCGGAGUGCUCGGCACUGUGGGGGAGAGUGUGCAUGUGGAGCCACACAGAGUACCCGACGACGUAUUUGUAUGGUUGUUAUUAAGGAUAAAACAAUGGAGUUUAUUUAUAUUGAUUGAGUUUACUUUGUCUACAUUAUGUCAUCUUGCUUAAAGCGUUACUCCUUUCUUUAUGAACUUGUAAUACUCUAAAUGCAUGUUGGAUAGCGGUCGAUGUGUGCAGUAAUAGUAGUAGAUGCCAACAUGAGUCGGUCAACUUGUCUCAGACACGAUCUCCAGAUCCGAGGGGACUAUGGGUAGACUGAACGGUCUCAGCGCGCACCAACGCACUAUGGAUGUGAUCUCUGAAUUGCGACACCACGACGUUCUGCGGCAACACCGUCUGCAGGAGCGCUUGAAUCUGACGGAUCCCUUCUCCGUCCGCAGAGUCGGUGGGUUGGAUGGAAUCAGCUAUCCGACUGGCCGCCGCGAGGUUUUGCAACGGGGUGCUGAGUACCUGGUACUUCCGAGGUUGGUCGCUCGGGAACAGCCGGUGCUUGUGCCGGCUGGAGCUAGGUUGCUGGCGAGUGCGGUCAUCCAGCUCCUUCUCCAGCCGCUCAAGGCGGCCUCGCUCGGCCAAAGUGGCCAAGCGUGCUGACUUCAUGGCCAGGGCCUCAGGAGUCUUCCCGGUGAUGGGAAUGCGCGGGGGUUGCUCGUUCUUCCAGCGGAGCUCGUCACGCUACUCCCAAGUGAGCGCCUGGGGAACAUACGGCUCGUGGAGGGGAGAACGGUCUUACUCUCCACCGUCAUUGGCGUGUCCGCGUGAAGGGCCCACGUUCACGUCGCGGGGACCGAUGCACCAUGGAGGGCCGUGCGGCUCGAAGCCGGCCAUCAGGACCUCGGCCAUGGACUCGACGCUCUCACACUCAGACUCGUCGGUGGAGUCCUCGUGGAGCUCACCGAAAAGGUCAAGGGCAGGCUCGCCAGGUUCGAGCUCCGUCACAUGGCCUGCCACGACUUGAGCAGCCACGACGUGCCCGAUCCAACGCUGGCGACGGCCAGCGGUCCGGAGAGAGAUCAGUCGAUACGAGACCGAGGGCUGUCGGAGAAGGACUCCGUACGAAGAUGCGCGGAAGUGCGCCGCGCCACGGAUGGGCAGCGACUCCACGUCUAGCGGGGCUUCCUGAAGCCAUGUCAAGUCGUCAGCGAUGAAGCUGAGCGCCCCACAAUGAAUCUCGCCGCCGACUAACUUAAUGCUGAUGAAAUUCCACCGGCGUCGUAAAGUCGCUAGAUGCGUUGCCCCACGGUGGGCGCCAAAUGUCGGGGUUAUGAUCCUGACAAUGAGUACUAGGGGUAUGAAAGAGGGGCGGAGCCUAACUACGGUGCAGGUGCAACACUUGGCGUUUAUGAGUUCAGGUAAUAGCCCUACGCCCCGUGCCUUGAGGCUUGUUUUCCGUUGGGUGGUGUGAUUACAAUGAAAUGCUUCACCCUUGUACGGCCGGAAGAGUGCGGCUUAUAUAUAGUGCGUUGCUGCCUCAUCACUCCGCCGUCGCAAGGGUGGUUUUGGUGUAUAACUACGUUAGUUACUAGUGGUAAUGGCCAGAACUACAUCAGUUACAUAUAUGAAAGUCCCUAACUACAGCAGUUUCUAAAUAUAAGUCUUAAAAAUUCCAAUACGGACUACAAACAGAUGUAUAUAGACGCAUUUUCGAGUGUAGAUUCGCUUCGUAUAUAGUUUUCAUCUAAUCCCUAAAACUUGUAUACUAUUGUACUCCCUCCGUUCCUAAAUAUUUGUUUUGCUAGAGAUUUCAACAAAUGACUACAUACGGAGCAAAAUGAGUGAAUCUACACUGUAAAAUAGGUCUAUAUACAUACGUAUAUGAUAGUUUAUUUGAAAUCCCUAAAAGGACAAAUAUUUAAGAACGGAGGGAGUACUUGCGUAGCUCAGUCCGACUGGCGUAUUUUCCCUCUAUUUUCCAUUUAUUUUUGUGCGAUCGCGACAUAAAGCUUCUAGAGAUGUCGCGUGCUCACACGCUCGUAAUCAACUACUAGGCGUUACUGACCCACAUUUGCACCCAAUAAAUCCUUUGCCCAUGGUUGGAUGGGAAAUGUCGUGCGCAUAUUGUCUAAUAAGUGUCGGCUAUACAGCAGUGCUCUUUUACGCGUCCCGAUUGGUCUAAUGGUGAUGAAGAGGUUUUUAUGCCAGUAGCUUUGACUUGCGGUACCAAAAUCAAUCCUGGUCUAUCCGAGGAGCACCGUCGAAUUUUGGGGUGGGUUCUCUUCCUUGCUUGUGAGUUCUGGUGGGAUUUGAGACGGGGAUCGCUGGCGGUGAUUUGUGGAAGGUUUUUGGCGUGGAAGGAGCGGGGAAGAGGGGUGGUGGUGGGCGUGGUUGAUGGUGGAGUUGUAGGCGUUGUGGGCUUGUGGGGUAGGGUGGUUGAUGGUGGUGGUCAAGAAGCGCACGGCUGAUUGGUUUUGACUCUGCCUGCCCGACCUGUAAUAAACCUAAUCACGCCGGCUCGGAAACCUCAUCUCAUCUCCGCGUACUUGGUAAAUAUCGCCAAAUUCCAACAAAAUUUGGUAAAUAAACAUACAGUAUCGAUGGGUUAGAUAUUAGUACAUAUAGUAUAAUAUAAGGAAAACUCUUCUAAUCAACCGGUGGAUCACGUCGUAUCGUCCGUCGCUUCCCAUGCAUGACGCGUGACCUUUAUGGAUUUAAAUUUCUGCAAUAAGUCCUUUGUUGCAAAAAUUUAUGUAAUAUGACCCCUGUUGCAUAAAGAUUCUGUAAUUGGUCUUUUUAAAAUUUCUGUAACAAAACUUCUAUUGUGAAGAAAAUUCUGCAACAAGAUUUCUGUUGCAAAAAUAAAAAAUGAAAAAUGCUACAACAAGAUAUAUGUUGUGAAUUUUUUUCCAACAAGUCACGUGUUGCAAAAAAUAAAAAAAGCAUAGGCUUGGGCGAUUGCAACAAGCUGGUUGUUGCAGAGAGCCUUCUGCAACAUCACUCUUGUUGCAGAGGAGUGGCUGCUUACGUGAAAAAGGUUGAAUGUCUUUAGCGUGUCCAUUCAAUGGUCAACGAGCCGGCGGAUAUUUUCUUAUUAUCCGCCGGCCGAUGCGUAGCGUCGCCCAUAAUAUAGAAGACCCAAAGGGUGGGAUUCCAUUAAUCUCAUCCAUCAAACAAGCUCAAUCCAACAGUCUAAACUGUUAAAAUUAUGAGUGCACAACCUGUUCACCAAAUAUAGGAUUAAUCACAUAAUUAAUAUGCACACAAUAUUUUACCUAAAUUACCGAAGGAUGUUUCCUGAACCGUUUUAUUCACGUUUCAUAUUCCUCAGCCAUUUAUCAUAUAGCAUGUGCCGACAUGUCGGUGAAAAAUGCCGUUUUCAUCGGAUUUAAUCAAAAGUUUUCCUUUUCGGCACAGGAUAUAUAGUUUUUUUUGAGAAACUUUCAAUCAAUUCAUUUUCAAUCAUGGCAGUACAAAGAACAACAGAGGUAAUAAAAAUUACAAUCAAGUCCGUGUACCACCUAGCGACGACUACAAGCACUGUAGCGUCCCUUGAUGAAGCCAUGUACCUAGGGUAGGGUCAUGAACAUGUCCAAGAUACCCUCCCCAUGGACAUCUCUAGAAGAUACCACCUUUCAGUCGACCUGGAAGGGUUCCACUCGACGGACUCGAAGACACUCGACCAUGAAGCCAACCACUCGACUGCCAGGAAACCUAAAGUCAAUCUGCACACAAACGGUCUGUCAUUAAGUAGCCCGACCUUAAUGUACCUUAAACCCUGCAUAACUGAGGGCCGGAGGGGUCUGGCGGACUCUAUAUAAGCCACCCCCUCCUCAGUGUAAGGGGUUCGCACCCUUGUAACUCAUACACAUAUAAUCCAGUCGACCGCCUCCGGGCUCCGAGACGUAGGGCUGUUACUUCCUCCGAGAAGGGCCUGAAUUCGUAAACAUCUUGCGUAUACAACUACUCCAUAGCUAGGAUCUCGCCUCUCCAUACCUCCCCCCUAUUCUACUAUCAGACUUAGAACCACGACAGUUGGCGCCCACCGUGGGGCAGGUGUCUUAGCGACCUAUUGGAGAAGUUGCGAUUUUUUCCGAUCUCCUUCAUCAUGGUUUCAGGCGGAGUUUUGGUUGAGGGCCGCGAGAUCCGUCUUGGCGCGCUCACGUUCAUCACCGACGACUCCGCUUGGCUUCAGGAGGCUCCACUCGACAUCGACGCGCUCCCCGUCCGCGGGGCGACGCACUUUCGCGCAUGCGUCCGCGGCGUCCUCCUGCGACAACCGUCGACCCAGUAUCGGUCGACCCCUGUGUCGUCCUCCCUCCCUGUUUCCCGCCGGCGCAAGCGCUCCGGUCGGUCGAGGCUUCAGCGGUGGGUGAGGCACGCGGUGGGCCGCCAGUCGGCCACCCCUCAAGUCGCGGCAAUCGAGCCCAACGAAUCUCUCUACGGCCUGUUCGACCUGUUGACUGGCUCCGUAGAGACUGCAUCCGAGUGCGACAGCAGUGAUCCAACGGCGGAGGUUCUGAUGGUCAAUGGACCGCACAGUUCUCCCGGCUUUCCCCAUGCCGACGGAGGCAACGACGGAGGCGAUCCGACGCAGAUCCGCGAAGAGUAUCAACCCGAGCCUCUCACUUCGCUGCAGAGGGAAGAACUUCACCGCCGGAACAUGGAUGCGCUACACACUCCUAUCGUCGGAGAAACCCCCGAGGCUCGUGCCUUAGAGGACACGCGCCUGGCCAACUUGGCCGAGCGCACUCGACUGGAAAACCUCCAGCGAGCACUCGACGAGCGUGCGCGGCAACGGGUUCCAGACUCCAAUCGACGUCAACUCUUUCCGCCACUGACUCAGGUAUAUCGAACUCCGAUUCAGAAUCUAGCAGCUGCAGCCCGUAUAGCAGAGUCGAUUCAGCCUUUCCAGUCAGAGGCUGGUAGAGGCUUGCUACAGAUCAGAGAUUUACUCCGGGCAGCAGGAGAUCAAAAUUCAGCUGUAUCGCAGUCGCGGAACAGGAUUCACAGUAGAUCCGUUGCUGCAAAUAUAGUCAAGUCGACCCAUAGCCCAAGAUCGCCCCCGAGGCGUGAGGGACGUGGAGAUCGGCGUGAUCAGUACAAGAACCGUGAGCAGUAUGAUGACCGACUCGAUCAUGAUGACCGGCGUCGAGUGCCCACCCCUCCCCCAAGGGGUGGAUCGUACGCGCCUCGGCAGCAGGAUGACAGACGCCAUCACAGUGUUGGGCGAAGGAUUUUAGUCGACCCCAGGGAACCAGGCUUUGAUGCAAGAUCCAUUAUUGUUCAAGGUUUGGUCGAUAGGAACAGAGCUCACCGAGAAGGCCAUGACAGAGAUGUACCCACCAGCAGCAGAGUACACAUCUCUGGGCCAGAGUGUUUUAGCAGAGCCAUCAGGGCCGCGGUGAUUCCUCCCAACUUCAGGUUGGCGACUGGAGUCAGUAAGUUCACUGGUGAGUCCAAGCCUCAUACUUGGCUUGAAGACUACCGAGUGGCUGUUCAGAUUGGUGGCUGCAACGAUGAGGUGGCCAUGAAACACCUGCCUCUUAUGUUGGAGGGCUAGGCCAGAGCAUGGUUGAAUCAGUUAGCACCCAGCAGCAUUUACACUUGGGAAGAUCUUGCCCGAGUGUUUGUCAGGACAUUUGAAGGAACUUGCAAGUGGCCAGCAGGGUUGACAGAGUUGCAGUCUUGCGUGCAAAAGUCAAAUGAAACUCUGAGAGAUUACAUCCAGAGAUGGAUCACAUUGCAUCACACGGUAGAGAAUGUAUCUGAUCACCAGGCAGUCUGUGCCUUCAAGGAAGGCGUUAAGAACAGAGAGCUAAGUCUAAAAUUUGGUCGAACUGGAGACAUGACUCUAAGUCGAAUGAUGGAAAUUGCCACCAUGUAUGCCAAUGGUGAAGAAGAGGAUCGGCUCCAGAGUGGCAAGUACAAGUCAGCCGCCCAUGAAACCGGGGGAGGGAACUCCAGUCGGAAGCAGAAGCAGAAAGCCGAGCCAGCUGCUCCUGGAGAAGCCUUGGCCGUGACUCAAGGAAAAUUUAAAGGGAAGCCCAAAGGGUCUUGGAACCCUAAGAAGGUGAAAGACAAGGAAGGGAAUGACGUGAUGGAUUUGCCGUGUCACAUCCACACGAAGAAAGAUGAGGAGGGUAAAUUCAUUUAUCCGAAACAUACCACUCGACAGUGUCAGCUCUUGAUCCAGCAAUUCCAGGGAAAACAACCCAAAGAUAAGGAAAAGGAGUCAGACAAAGUUGAAGACAAAGAAGAUAGUGAUGACGGAUAUCCCCAGGUCAAUUCCACCCUGAUGAUUUUUGCUAAUGUUGAAAGCAAAAGUCGAUUGAAAGUUAUCAACCGAGAGGUGAAUAUGGUUGCUCCGGUGACACCCAGUUAUCUAAAAUGGUCCCAGACUGCCAUCACAUUCGACCAGUCCGAUCAUCCGACACAUAUAGCCACCCUUGGGAGGCAAUCUUUGGUAGUCGAUCCAGCUGUCGAAGGCACUCGACUGACUAAAAUCUUGAUGGAUGGUGGCAGUGGCCUGAAUAUAUUGUAUGCAGAGACGUUGAAAGGGAUGGACAUUCCUGGGAAGAAGGCUCAGUACCAGCAACAUGAGUUUCCAUAGAGUCAUUCCUGGGAAGAAGGCUGAGUCACUCGGCCAAAUUGCUCUUGAUGUGGUUUUCGGUGAUUCCAAGAAUUACCGCAAAGAAAAGUUGACGUUUGAAGUUGUGGAUUUCCAGAGUGCUUAUCACGCUAUUUUGGGCAGGCCAGCUUAUGCACGUUUCAUGGCUCGACCAUGCUACGUGUACCUCAAAAUGAAGAUGCCUAGUCCCAAAGGUGUGAUCACUAUUAUUGGCAAUCAGAAGAAGGCGGAAGAGUGCUUUCAGAAAGGCUCAAAGAUCGCCGAUACUCAGAUGGCAGUGGUAGAGCUACAGGAAUACCAAAAAACUGCAGAUCCGAGUGAUUUGUUGUGAGCCAAGAAGCCCGCUACAGAAUCAGCAUUUCAGUCGUCUGGUGAGACAAAGCCGAUUCACAUUCACCCGACCAACCCCAGUGCUGCUCCGACUCAUAUCUCUACAACACUCGACUCCAAAUAGGAAGAAGCGCUCAUCCAGUUCCUCCGUGAGAACUGGGACAUCUUCGCAUGGAAGCCUGCUGACAUGCCGGGUGUUCCCAGAGGGCUGGCUGAGCACCGUCUAUGAGUCGACUCAAAAGUGAAACCUAUCAAGGAACAUCUUCGACGGUUCGCCGUCCAGAAGAGAAAGGCCAUUGGCGAGGAAGUGGCUCGACUCUUAGCAGCGGAGUUCAUCCGAGAGAUUUACCACUCCGAGUGGCUCGCCAAUGUUGUCAUGGUCCCCAAGAAGGACAAGUCACUUCGCAUGUGCAUUGACUUCAAACAUAUCCAUCGGGCCUGCCCGAAAGAUCAUUUUCCUCUCCCCCGCAUCGACCAAAUAGUCGACUCGACUGCGGGAUGUGAGCGCUUGUCUUUUUUAGACGCCUAUUCCGGUUACCAUCAGAUCUGUCUGUAUGGACCCGACGAAAUCAAAACAGCUUUCAUCACUCCAUUCGGCUGCUUCUGUUAUGUCACCAUGCCAUUCGGCCUCAAGAAUGCCGGAGCCACGUUCAUGAGGAUGAUUCGGAAGUGUCUUCUCACUCAAAUCAGUUGGAAUAUGGAAGCAUACAUGGAUGAUAUUGUAGUCAAGUCACGGAAAGGUUCCGACCUGUUGACUGACCUUGCUGAAACAUUUGCUAACCUCAGGAGGUAUGAUAUCAAACUUAAUCCAUCGAAGUGCACAUUCGGAGUUCCUGGCAGAAAGUUACUUGGUUUUCUCGUUUCCGAACGAGGAAUCAACGCCAACCCAGAAAAAGUUGGUACUAUACUCCGAAUGAAAUGCCCUGUGCGUGUGCACGAUGUCCAGAAGCUUACUGGAUGCUUGGCCGCUUUAAGUCGAUUCAUCUCUCGUCUCGGUGAAAAGGCGUUGCCUCUUUACUGACUGAUGACGAAGUCAGACAAGUUCGAGUGGACUCCUGAAGCUGAUGCAGCAUUUGCAGAGCUAAAAGCCCUGCUCUCCACCCAGCCGGUGCUUGCCGCUCUGAUCAGCAAAGAGCCUUUGCUGCUUUACAUUGCAACCACAGGACAAGUCGUCAGUACAGUACUUACGGUUGAGUGGGAAGAAGAAGGAAAAGCCUUUAAAGUCCAACGCCCAGUAUAUUAUCUUUCUGAAGUUUUGAUCCCAUCGAAGCAAAGAUACCCACAUUAUCAGAAGCUUGUAUAUGGGAUUCAUAUGACCACGAAGAAGGUUGCUCAUUACUUCUCUGACCAUUCCAUUACAGUCGUCAGCGAUGCCCCAUUGUUAGAGAUUCUGCACAACAGAGAUGCAACUGGUCGAGUGGCAAAAUGGGCGAUUGAACUCCUUCCCCUUGAUAUCAAGUUCGAGGCAAAGAAAGCCAUCAAGUCCCAAACAAUAGCAGAUUUCAUCACCGAGUGGAUGGAACAACAACUACCGACUCAAGUUCACUCGGAGCACUGGACCAUGUUCUUUGAUGGAUCUAAGAUGUUGAACGGUUCCGGUGCUGGGGUAGUGUUGGUUUCCCCCCGAGGAGAUAAGCUCAGAUAUGUGCUCCAGAUCCACUUUGAUUCCUCCAAUAACGAAGCAGAAUUCGAAGCACUUUUGUAUGGGUUGCGCAUGACCAUUUCACUCGGCGUCCGUCGCCUCAUGGUUUAUGGCGACUCAGAUUUGGUGGUUAACCAAGUGAUGAAGGAGUGGGACGUCAGAAGUCCAGCCAUGACUGGUUACUGCAAUGCAGUGAGAAAGCUAGAGAAGAAGUUUGAGGGGUUAGAGCUUCAUCAUAUACCCCUACUGAAAAAUCAAGCGGCUGAUGAUUUGGCAAAAAUAGGUUCCAAGAGAGAAGCCAUUCCCAGUAAUAUGUUUUUGGAACACAUCCACACACCAUCAGUUCAAGAGGAUCCUUUCACCGAAGAAGCUCCACAGCCAAAAAGUGUCACGGAUCCGACUGAAGUUGAAGUUCCAGUUGUGGUCGACCUGAUCAUGGAAGUUUUGGUCAUCACUCCCGACUGGACAGAGCCGUACAUCGCGUAUAUCCUAAGGAAAGAGCUCCCGGAGAAUGAAUAAGAGGCUCGACAGAUCGUCUGUCGAUCCAAAGCCUUUACCGUGAUAAAGGGACAGUUGUACAGAGAAAGCGCGACUGGAGUCGGUCAGAAAUGUAUAACACCAGAAGAAGGUCGGAUAAUCCUUGAUGAUAUCCACUCGGGGACCUGUGGUCAUCAUGCGUCCUCUCGGACCAUUGUGGCUAAAGCAUACCGAGCGGGAUUUUACUGGCCAAGAGCAAACGAAAUGGCAAAGGAAAUAGUCAACAAGUGUGAAGGAUGUCAGUUCUAUUCCAAUCUGUCACACAAGCCCGCCUCAGCUUUGAAGACCAUUCCACUCGUCUGGCCCUUCGCUGUUUGGGGGUUGGAUAUGGUUGGACCAUUGAGAACCGACAGGAGCGGCUUCACCCACUUGUUAGUGGCAGUCGACAAGUUUACUAAAUGGAUUGAAGCUAAACCUAUCAAGAAUCUCGAUGCUUGCACUGCUAUCAGUUUUGUCAAAGAGUUGAUAUUCAGAUAUGGAGUUCCGCAUAGCAUCAUCACUGAUAACGGGUCGAACUUCGAUUCCGACAAGUUCAAAGCUUUUUGCGCCUCUCAAGGCACACUAGUCAAUUACGCUUCAGUCGCUCAUCCCUAGUCGAAUGGACAAGCAGAAAGAGCAAACGACCUAAUUCUCAAAGGACUGAAACCCCGAUUGAUGCGUGAUCUCAAGCACGCAGCAGGCGCGUGGGUCGACGAACUUCCAUCAGUUCUUUGGAGAUUGAGGACCACACCUAAUCGGUCGACUGGGCGGACUCCAUUCUUUCUGGUUUAUGGAACUAAAGCAGUUCUGCCGAGUGACUUGCUUCACAGUGCACCACGAGUCGAGCUCUACUCUGAAGAUGAAGCAGAACAAGCCCGGCAGGGUGCAGUCGACCUCCUAGAAGAAGAAAGAGAGAUGGCCUUGAUCCACUCGACUAUCUAUCAGCAAGACUUGCGUCGAUUCCAUGCCAGAAAUGUGAAGAGUCGAGCCUUCCAAGAAGGAGAUUUGGUCCUCCGAGUGGAUCAACAGAAGCCACACAAACUCGCUCCUACUUGGGAAGGCCCCUUCAUCAUCACCAAAGUUAUCCGCAAUGGAGCGUACCGUCUUUACAACGUCGAUCGCCAGAUUGACGAGCCGCGAGCUUGGAAUGCGGAGCUGCUCCGCCCCUUUUAUACUUAAGUACUCACCCGGAUGAGAUGUAAUAAAAAGUACCUCUGUAGUUUGUUUAUCAAAGACAAGAGUAUUAUAAUUUUCCCAGUAAUUGUUGUUGCUUUUGUUUACGUGAGAAAUCCCCCAGUGGGUGGCUUAGCUGCGAAUCCGUUUCGCCUAAGUUUGUAAAAAAAAAUCCUAUCGAGUGACGAGCAAGCCUCUCACUCGGGGGCUUAGCUGCGAAUCCGUUUCGCCUAAGUAUUUGAAAAUCCUACCGAGUGGUAAGCCAGCCUCCCACUCGGGGGCUUAGCUGCAGUCCAAGUACUCGCCUAAGUUUAAAAAAUCCUACCGAGUGGUGAGCCAGCCUCCCACUCGGGGGCUUAGCUACAGUCCAAGUACUCGCCUAAGUUUAAAAAAUCCUACCGAGUGGUGAGCCAAACUCCCACUCGGGGGCUUAGCUGCAGUCCAAGUACUCGCCUAAGUUUUUGAAAAUCCUACGGAGUGGUGAGCCAGCCUCCCACUCGGGGGCUUAGCUGCAGUCCAAGUACUCGCCUAAGUUUUUGAAAAUCCUACCGAGUGGUGAGCCAGCCUCCCACUCGGGGGCUUAGCUGCAGUCCAAGUACUCGGCUAAGUUUAAAAAAUNNNNNNNNNNNNNNNNNNNNNNNNNNNNNNNNNNNNNNNNNNNNNNNNNNNNNNNNNNNNNNNNNNNNNNNNNNNNNNNNNNNNNNNNNNNNNNNNNNNNNNNNNNNNNNNNNNNNNNNNNNNNNNNNNNNNNNNNNNNNNNNNNNNNNNNNNNNNNNNNNNNNNNNNNNNNNNNNNNNNNNNNNNNNNNNNNNNNNNNNNNNNNNNNNNNNNNNNNNNNNNNNNNNNNNNNNNNNNNNNNNNNNNNNNNNNNNNNNNNNNNNNNNNNNNNNNNNNNNNNNNNNNNNNNNNNNNNNNNNNNNNNNNNNNNNNNNNNNNNNNNNNNNNNNNNNNNNNNNNNNNNNNNNNNNNNNNNNNNNNNNNNNNNNNNNNNNNNNNNNNNNNNAGCCUCCCACUUGGGGCCUUAGCUGCAGUCCAGUACUCGCCUAAGUAUUUGAAAAUCCUACUGAGUGGAGAGCAAACCUCCCACUCGGAGGCUUAGCUGUAGUCUAGUACUCGCCUAAGUAUUUGAAAAUCCUAUCGAGUGGAGAGCAAACCUCCCACUCGGAGGCUUAGCUGCAGUUCGGUACUCGCCUAAGUAUUUGAAAAUCCUAUCGAGUGGAGAGCAAACCUCCCACUCGGAGGCUUAGCUGCAGUCUAGUACUCGCCUAAGUAUUUAAUCCAUUCCGAUCCGCAAGGAGGACGAGGUGUAGGUCGACUGCUACCUUCUCCUUCGGAGCUACGCCACAAAUACAACGUGCGCUCUGCAAGGAUGACGAGGUGUAGGCCGACUGCUACCUUCUCCUUCGGAGCUACGCCACAAAUACAACAUGCGCUCUGUAAGGACGACGAGAUGCAGGUCGACUGCUACCUUCCCCUUCUGAGCUACACCACAAAUACAAUGUGCACUCCAUCCUGAUCCGGAAGGACGCAGGCCGACUGCAAUCUGCACUCCAUCCCUACCUGCAAAAGCGAUGAAGCGCAGGUCGACUGGACUUUCCACCUCAGAGCUUCGUCUCAAGCACUAAAGUAUAUUCCGAGUGAAGAACAAAGUUUGCUCGAUAAACCAAUUUUGCAAGCAUAUUCAACGAUAAACCAAGUUCAGAUAACGUCCUACAGAUUCGGAAGUACUCAGGCGUCAAGCCUGUAAAAGUUUAUCGGUUACAAAACCACUCAGCAUUCCAAGGCAAAUUUAAAGCAUAGAAGUUUUUUUACUCCUCAGGUGGAGGACUGGAAGGCGCGACAAACUGGUUCAGGUCGAUCCCGUCAGCAAUCCGAGUGGCAGCAACAAUGAAGGUCUCCAUGAAAGACUGGAAAUCGUGCUUCUUGGUAUUGGCCACUUUGAUGGACGCCAGCUUGUCCUCUCGCGCAUCCUUGCAGUGAACGCGGACCAGGGACAGAGCAACGUCAGCACCACACCUGGCAGAAGACUUUUUCCAUUCUUGCACUCGACCUGGAACAUCAUUCAGUCGAGUCAUUAGAGACUCGAGGUCAUUUUGGAGCGUCUCUCCCGGCCAGAGUGUUGUGUCGAUUCGCGACACCGCAACCUUCAGUCGAGCAAGGUAGUCAACAACUCCAGCAACGCGAGACUCCAGUCGGAGCACGUUCAUAGCGGCUUCAUCCUUCACAGGAGAGUUAAUGGGGUCCAAGCUUGUCUCCACUCGACUGGUUUCCUCCUCGAAGUUUUGGCAGAAUUCUGUAAACACAAUUUGAAGUUAAGCCAACAGUUCUAUGAUGAGUCGAUGACAACAAGUCAGUCGGAUAAAAGAGAUUACCUUCAAGCAUGAUGAAUAACUUCUUGGCGAGCCCCCCCCCCCAGAUAAGCCUCUAGAUCGUUCUUCUUCCCCGCCAGUUCGCUACCUUGUCACUCAGAGCUAUCUUAUCAUUCUUCAGACGGCUGACUUCCUUGUUGGCCGCGUCGAGAGCAACUUUUAGAUUGGUGUUCUCCUCUUCAAGUUUUCCGACUGAAGCUAGUUUUUCUUCCGCAAGCUUCGUUUUGUCCAAAGCCGCCUUCUGCGCCUCGGCGAGGUCAUGGUCCUUCUUCUUCAGAGCCUCAUUCAGUUUAUCUGCAAAGUGACAAUGAGAUCAGAAUCAGGAAUGGACAGAAAGAUAAAGACAGUCAUCAAGAUUCUCACCAAACAUACCUUUUGCUUCAUCCUUUGCCUUCGUAAAGUUCUCCUAAACAAGCUUCAAGUCAAGGUCGAGCUGGAUAUGCUUGUUUUCCAGUUCAGUAUAACGAGCCACGAGCUUGCAAGAUUUCUGCAAAGGGUCAGUCGACAGACAUCAAAGAUAGGUUGCUUCUGAGUGACUAAGAAAGAAUCAAAAUAUUCAACAGCAGUCUCGGGGACUACACCCAGUGGGUGCACUCUGCGUGCCCCCACUGGUUCUACCGACUCGGUCCGAUCAGUCGGCCGAAAGAGACAAAGAGGUUAUGAUCUUAAAACUAUAGCACUAUAGCUAACUGCCAGCAGUCAGCCAUGGUCUCAUAAAAAACAGGUUCUUCAGACCUUAGUCGACUGCCAGCAAUCAUCCAUGGUCUCGGGGACUACACCCAGUGGGUGCACUCAGCGUGGCAUCCUCGACCUCCUCCGGGUGGAUCCGAGCGGUGUCCUCAGUACCAGAAUACAACCACAUCGGAUGGUCUCGAUCUUGAAGCGGCUGGAUGCGUCCUCGGAGGAAGACCUCCAAGAGGUCCAUACCGGUCACUCCGUCACGGAUAAGCUGGACCACACGUUCGACCAACACCUUAACCUGCGCCUUCUCUUCCAGGAUCACCUUCAAAGAAGAAGGCUUGCUCACUCGGUCCAUGGAAAAAGGAGGGAGUCCAGUCAACUGCCCUGGCGUUGGCUGGUCCUUGCAGUAGAACCAGGUCGACUGCCAUCCACGGACCGACUCGGGUAGGAUCAUGGCCGGAAAAGAACUUUUUCCCCUCAUUUGAACCCCAAGACCCCCACACAUCUGAAUCACUUGUGUUCUCUCAUCACUCGGAUUGGCCUUUUUCACCACCUGGGAGCGACAGGUGAAAAUGUGCUUGAAAAGACCCCAAUGAGGCCAACAACCCAAGAAAUUCUCGCACAAAGAACAUGAAAGCAGCGAGGUACACGAUAGAGUUGGGUGUGAAGUGGUGGAGUUGCGCCCCAAAGAAAUUCAGAAAUCCCCGAAAGAAAGGGUGAGGCGGCAAAGAAAACCCACGGUCGACAUGGGUGGCCAAGAGGACACACUCACCCUCCUGAGGCUGCGGCUCCGACUCCUUCCCCGGGAGCCGCGCCGAUCCGUGGGGGAUCAGUCCUUCAUUGGCCAGGCCGUCAAGAUCUUUUUGACGGAUCGUCGAGCGGAUCCAGUCGCCCUGGAUCCAGCCCUGCGGCAGGCCGACCCUUGAUGAAGAUCCGCCCCGACUGGUCGCCCUUCCCUUCGCCUUCGCCGUCGCAUUCUUCGCCCGCUCCAAGGCCGCCGUCUUCUCCUUCACCAUCGUUGCCGGCGAAACGCGCACGGAGCAGCGGCGCUGAGAUGGAAGCGAACGCGGCAGAUAAGUCUAAGGAAGAGGGGAGGAAAUGAGAGCGCACUGUUCACAAACCCCCGUCCGGCGCCUUAUAUGAGGUUACUUCCGAGUGUCUGACUUGUAGGCCCGGGCGAUCCCGUCAAAUCCCGCAACAGUCGCGCGCACGAUACGUGGCGAAAAAGGUGGCGCGGAGAUCGAGGCAUUCCUGCCUUAUCCCAUCUAAUUACCGCGGCCUCCUCCGCCCCGCGCGCUUCCCAAAAUUUGAAUCCCGCUAAAUCCGCGGGCUGCAGAGCAACUUGUCAGACGGGAGAUUUCCUCCGUUCUAUCGUUCGGAGUUCUCCAAAUAAGGAAGUUCACUCGACGGAUACAAAGAAUGGAUCAAGGCGACUAAAAAAGAAGUUAAUGUCGUCACCUGAGUUCACUGAUCCAGAACAAGACAUACUCAUUGCACGAAAAUGGGUCGGAAGUGUGUUCAACUCCUUCCCCACUCAAACCUCGAUCAUUCGGGGGCUAAUGAUGAAGCCAUGUACCUAGGGUAGGGUCAUGGACCUGUCCAAGAUACCCUCCCCAAGGACAUCUCUAGAAGAAACCACCUUUCAGUCGACCUGGAAGGGUUCCACUCGACGAACUCGAAGACACUCGACCAUGAAGCCAACCACUCGACUGCCAGGAAACCUAAAGUCAAUCUGCACACAAACGGUCUGUCAUUAAGUAGCUUUUAUGGUCAUCAUAGCACUUUAUUUGUGGCGUUACCAGUAACGCCCGACCUUAAUGUACCUUAAACCCUGCAUAACUGAGAGCCGGAGGGGUCUGGCGGACUCUAUAUAAGCCACCCCCUCCUCAGUGUAAGGGGUUCGCACCCCUGUAACUCAUACGCAUAUAAUCCAGUCGACCGCCUCCGGGUUCCGAGACGUAGGGCUGUUACUUCCUCCGAGAAGGGCCUGAACUCGUAAACAUCUUGCGUAUACAACUACUCCAUAGCUAGGAUCUCGCCUCUUCAUACCUACCCCCCUAUUCUACUGUCAGACUUAGAACCAUGACACCCCUCCCUUACCGGAGCUGGAAAAACCUUGUUGUAGUAGACAGUCCGGAAGUCGUCGCGGUAAGGCCCCAUAGGACCAACGCACCAGAGUAGCAAUCAUCACCGAUGAAGAAAGUCGUAAAUCAGAAGGAUCAAACAUGUAAACACCCAAACAAGGACGAACGAAGAACGGAUCCAACAGAUCCACCGAAGACCAGCACCGAACGAAUCCUGCGGGAUCUGACGGAAACAAACCUCCACACACCCUCCGAUGAUGCUAGAUGCACCAUCAGAAUGGGGAUAGAAUGUGGGAGACGUUAUUUCUACUAAGGGGCAUCGCCGCCACCACACAGUGAAUCUAACAAGAACGAGAACGGGGUCCCUCCCACCGGCGAGGGAUCGAGAUCAUCCAUACCUCCAUGGCCUAUAGGCCAUCGAAGAUGGGGCGGACCGGCGGCGGCGCUAACGGGAGGAGAAGAGCUUUUCUUGUGGAGGAGGAAAAAGAUAUGCAUAGAUAACUAUCAAAUUUUUAUGGUAAUUAUAACUAGCAAACGUCCGCUGUAGGGGAGAUGGCAAACGAACCAUUUUUGAUGACAACUUCAAUUGUGAAACGAGAUCAAACGACGAUGUAUUUAAAACAAAAAUUGCCUUCUCAGGGAAAAAAAUGCCAUAUCACCUGAAGAAAUUGCCACCUUUACCAAUGCCGCACAACUAAAAAUGUCAUACGAGCAUUCGCAAAUGCCACCCUACCUGGCUAACAUUCGCGAGAUAAGGGUUCCUUUUCUUAAAACACACACACACACUUACCCCUAUAAAUGCACGUACGCAUACUCUAUUCCUAUGAGCACCUCCAAGAAAUUAAGCCGACAUAUCAUCUUAAAAAUGACGAAGUAGCCUCAUACGUCUAUGUAGUCUACUGGAACCUCUUCUAUCACUGAACGCACAUCAUAAGAUCUGAAAUAAAUUCAGAAAAAUGUUAGCACUAAUGUCAAAUCUAGGAUUUAAACUUUGAUAACUUAUAAGCCACCGUCCUACUAACCAUUCAACCACAAGUUGGUUCGUGACGAACUAUUAUGUUUACUUAUGUCAAGAUGUGCUAUAAACAAAACAGGGCUGAAUAAUUCAAAAAUUUGCAAGGGUAUGCACCUACCGAAGUGCCUACAACCGUCUAUCUACGCGGUGAUCCGGGCACAUGUUUCCACGGAAAUUGGUUGAAAACUGGAUGGAUAUUCUUUAACUGCCUGAAUACGAGCAAGUAUACGUGUUUAUUCUAUGCAAUACUUUGGCGAGCCCUUCUUAUACAUCUUUCUAUCUGUGUGUAUGCUACGUCUCCCAUUCCGUUACAUACUCUUUUUUUUUGCGAGAGAUUACAUACUCUUUUCCACGAGUUGCAUGCACUAUUCUUCUUCUUCUUCUUCAUUCGUCCCUGUCGUGUUCUGCUCUUAUGUUCAAGUUUUGUUUCCUUCUCUUUUUUAUAUAUUGGAAAAAGUCUAAAAUAAACCUUUAGUUCGUACUCGUAGUCUGAAUUGGACCUUGAACUUAAAAUCCCUGAAAUUAGCACACUAUACUCUUUAAUCCCGGUCUAUCCUGGAUGAUUUUCGCUAGCUGAUUGUUUGACGCAGCGAGAAAAGACGAUUCCGACCAGGAUCACAUACUUUGGCGAGCCCUUCUUAUACAUCUUUCUAUCUGUGUGUAUGCUACGUCUCCCAUUACGUCUCCCUAAUGGAUGCGCGUCGUCGUCCCGUCGCUAUAUUACACGCAUGAACAAGCUUGUGCUGUUGUGUGGCGUGUGCCGUGUGCUACUUGCUGCUGCACGCAUUUCAGAGAGAGACAUAGAAAAAGAGGAGGAGGAUUAUGACGCAUGGGCCCUUGUAAUCUGUAAGAGUAGUGUGUGAUCCUGGUACCGGGAGAUGAGCAGCAGCCGCACGACGGCACGAGGAUGUUAGCGAGUGCACCGGCUGCCGCUGACGGCCCACAGUGGGAGGCCGGUCGUGGCCGUGCUCUGUUGCGUGGCACAAGCGAGCUUGAAGCGGUCAUGUGAUGUCCCCGGCGUGCGACCUCGGAGAAGACGUGGGCGAGACGAUGCACAACUGUCCGGGAGGUGGGCAUCAAUCACACGAGUGUUGGCUUUUGAUGCCUAGAUCAAAUCACCCAGGAACUAUGCACGCGAAGUGCAAAGCUAGCUAGACAAGCUUGAUUGAUUCUCGAGCAACACGCACGUAAAUGUAGACGUAUACAUUGAACUUGACCUAGCCGGCGGCCUCGGUGGAACGUCUGGACGUAACUUUAGCAAUCGGAAAAACUGAUCGGGACGAGACUGAUUUGGUGACACGGUUGGUGAUGGCUCCAACGGCUCCUGUACGGACCGCCCCCGCGGGCGGAUCUGGUGCUCGGGACGGCGAUGCCGCGCCCGGCCCUGCUGCCGGCCCAGGCGAUCGGGCGGCGACGGGAGAGGGGUCGGCGGUGGCCGCGGUGGUGUCCAGGCGAGCGGCCGUGCCCGCCUCAGGCGCGACUGGGUGGUCGGGGAGUAGGUUUUGGGCGUUGACCGAUGAGGUUUCCGACUGUGAAGAGGAGGCGGAGGAGGGCGCGGCGACGGGGUCAACGGAUGGCGGCCGCUCGGCGUGCUUCUUCGGCGACUUCAUCGCGCGCGCGGAGGAGCUUGGGGGCUCCUUCAAGGCCGGGCGCCGGCGCGCGUUUGCGCCCGGGGGCCGUGGCUCGAGGCGGCCGGCUUCCGUCGCGAGCAGGGGACCGCGUGCAUCUCCAAGCCGUUCGGGGCGGGGCAGCACGGGCUUCGCAGACGCGGGUCUGCGCCUGCAGCCAACUCCGGCCCAACUUCGGUCAGUGCAGCCGGCACCCGUGUCGGCGGCGGCGACGACGGAUCCGGGCGUCGGGAGUCCUAGGGUUGGGGGCGACUUGCCAGGGGCGGUGCUGGGCCAGGCCCUCGGGGUGCCUGGCGGCCCAUCCGCGCGCUUGGCCUGCGUGUCGGUCCCGAUUGGCGCUGUCUCAGUUGUGCAGGGGGCCCACCUUGCGGCCCAGCCUGGCCCACUGGAGGCAGCCCAGCCCACUCCUGCCCGAGUCGCCCAGCCAUAUAAAUGGCUCUGGUUGCCCCGCAGAACCCUAGAUCCAGCUCUAGGUUUCCCAGCCACCGUUUCGGACGUGCGGCGUUUCGGCCACGCCGCCCGGUUCCUCUUCCCCACCCCAGCCCCCCCGCCUCUGCUGCGCUCCUUCGUGGAGGUGGUGUCAAUGGGGUCCAAGCCCGACCGCCGGAGCGAGAAGCCGCCCAUGGAGCCACCGCGGGACCGCAACCGCGACCGCGUCAACAAAGACGGCGGUUGGGGACCGCCGCCCGCGUGGUGGCUCAAGGAGCAGGAGAGAAAGAAGAAGCACAAGGAGGAGUACAAGAAGAAGGGGCUCGAGCUCAAGCGCAAGGAGCAUCUGGCCUCCCAGGGCGGCGACCGCGCCGGCGAUCUGCUUGCGAAGAAGCCGAAGCUCAAGUCUGUGGGGGCGGCGGCCUCCUCGCUGCCCCUCCCGCCCAGAUCCGAGAUGCCUGGCUCCUCCAAGGGCACGGAGGAGGCGCCGAUCCCGGUCGAAGACGCCGACGGCCCCGAGUGCUUCAAGUGUGGCCGCUCCGGCCACUACCAGAACUCGUGCUCUUUCCAGCCGCUCUGUGUGGUGUGCAGCAAGGAGGGGCACACCUCGGUGCAGUGCCCAACCCGUGGCAAGCCGCUGAUCCUGCAAACGAUGCGGCACGCAAUCUCCGGCGAGGGAUUCUUCUGUCUUCAGUUCCCGGAGGACGUGCGGGAGGCGCCUCCAGUUCUGCUGGGGGCCAACGCGGCGGUACUCUCCAUGCCUUCCGGUGCGCUCUCGCAGGAGAUCUUGGAGAGGGAGUUGCAGCAUCUCUUUGAGAGCACAUGGGACUGGCAGAUUGCCCCCCUUGAGGGUGGCGCAUUCUCGGUGGUGUUUCCGGACCCUGCAAUGCUGCGGAUGGCUACAAGAAGCGGCAAGCUCUUCCUGUCACUCAACAACCUCAUGGUGGACAUUCGCGAUGCGAUCCUUGAUGCUCCCAAAAGUCUGGAGAUGCCGGAGGUGUGGGUCAAGCUGGGUGGCGUCCCUCCAAAGCAUCAGCGCCCCGAACGGCUCAUGGCGGCCACCAUCAUGCUCGGCCGCCCCCUGCAGGUUGAUGAGGAGUCGCUGAUCCGGCCCUGGCCAGUGCGCAUGCGCUUUGCCUGCCGCAAUCCUCACAAGCUGCGUGGGAUGGUCCAAAUCUGGUUCAACAGCGACGGCUACAACAUCUCCAUCGAGCCCGAGCUCCCCCCGGCGCAACUGGCGGCGCCCGCUCUCCCUUCUCCUCCCCCUCCUCCUCAUGGCAAGGGUCCGGAUGGGCCGGGGCGAGGCGGAGGCCAAGACGAUGUCCAAGAGCACGACGCUAGCAUGGAUGACGACUCUAUUGACACGGCGGCAUGGGAGAAGCUGGGCAUCACCGAGCAAGGCGGUGCGAUGGCCCGUGCGCUGCAGCCUAGGGCGGAGCCAUCCCUGGCUGGUGGAUCAUCGGAGAUGGACCUCUCCAUUCCAAACCAGUACGGCUCCAACCUGGGUUCGGUCACGUAGCCUCCGGUGCGGCUGGAGGCAGUGGUGGCCACCUCACAGCUGGCGGAGCCGCAGGAUGAGGUGCGCACCCCCAUCGCGGUGUCGGUGGACUCGCUGCCUCGCCACUCGCUCUCUCCAGCGCAAGGUGGUCGCGGCAGCGGCAAGCUCGGCGUGGUGAAGCAGCUCAAGAAGGUGGCGGUGCGCAAGGUGUGUGCGGAGGCGGGGAGUGCUGCGGAGAUCUUUGGGGCUCCGGCGACGCCGUGCCAGGCGGUGAUGGCCCUGGCGGCCCCGGCCCCCGCUCCGCUCGCGCAGGUGAUGUCCCAAUCGGCGCCGAUCCCCAAGGCCAAGCUCUCCAAGGCUGUGGUGGAGGGACAGGUGCCUCCCCUGCGGGUUAGUGCGCGCGCCAAGGGUGCCAAAGGCAACCUUCUUUCGCUCCAGCGCGCUCAACUCCUGCAAGCUCAGAAGAACUUGGAAACCUCAGGUAACCCCUUGCCGUGUUUUAUGAUUCUUGAUUCAUUUUCGGACAAACAUAUGGGUGAGGUUUUGGGGGAGAGCAGGGUGUAACUGAUGGGCGAUGGUGGGGUGACCGAGCUCAUCUCGUUGAUUCGCGCUAAGGAGCAGGCGCAGGCAGCGCUGGCAGCGGUGGCUGCUCAACACGCGGAACGCUUGGCACUGGAGGCUGAGCCCUCGUAGGUGCCAGCGAUCCAGCCCGAAGGGGAUAUGGCAACAUGGGUUGCUAUUCCCCCCUCGCCUCACUGCGGCAAGGUGAGGCGCGUGUCCAAGGCGAUCACCUCCAGGGGGGUGCGCCUUCGGAAUCGUGUUCAUUUGGAACAUUCGUGGCUUCGGUCACGCGGGUCGACGCACCCAAUUGAAGGAGUACAUUAGGAAGGAGUCGGUUGAUAUCGUAGGGGUUCAGGAAACGAUCAAAUCAGAACUACGGCAUCAGGACAUCCUAACGAUUGACCCCUUAGAGCGCUUUGUCUGGCACCAUAGCCCAGCGCACGGCCACUCCGGUGGCAUGCUGCUAGGAUUUUGUGGUGCCACUUAUGAAGUACUGACCUGGGAGGUUGGUACCUUCUUUCUUGCGGCCAGAAUCCGCGUGCGAGCGUCGCUUAGAGAGCUCGCGACCGUGCAAGUCUACGGACCAGCCGAUCAUUCCCAUUCGGCAGAGUUCUUGGGAGAAUUGGAAGCCAAGGUGCUGGAUCUUACUGCUGCACAGAUCCCGCUCAUGGUGGGAGGUGAUUUUAACCUGAUUCGCUCGGGCGCAGACAAAAACAAUGACAACAUUAACUGGUCAAGGGUGGCCAUGUUCAACAAUGCGAUUGCGUCUAUGGCACAUAGGGAAGUGGCUAGAACUGGGGCGAGAUUUACUUGGACUAACAAGCAACUCGCCCCGGUGCAAUCCGUCCUGGAUCGUGCCUUCAUGUCUCAGGACUGGGAAGUGGUGUUCCCACUGUGCUCGCUCCUUGCUGAAACAAGGAUCGGGUCAGACCAUGUACCCCUCAUUCUAUCUUCUGGGGAAGAUAGAAUCCACCUUAGCCCGCAUUUCUUUUUCGAAACUGCGUGGUUUGAGGUCCCUGAGUUUGAUGCCAUCUUUAGGGAGAGAUGGCUGAGGUGUGUGUCGUGGUUCUAAGCCUGACAGUAGAGUGGGGGGUAGGUAUGGAGAGGCAAGGUCCUAGCUAUGGAGAGGUUGUAAGCACAAAGGAUGUACGAGUUCAGGCCCUUCUCGGAAGAAGUAACAGCCCUACGUCUCGGAGCCCGGAGGCGGUCGAGUGGAUUAUGAAUGUAUGGAUUACAAGGUGCCGAACCCCUCUGCCUGUGGAGGGGGGUGGCUUAUAUAGAGUGCGCCAGGACCCCAGCCAGCCCACGUAGGAGAGGGUUUAAGGUGAGUUAAGUCUGGGGCGUUACUGGUAACACCCCACAUAAAGUGCCUUUACUAUCAUAAAGUCUACUUAAUUACAGGCCGUUGCGGUGCAGAGUGCCUCUUGACCUCCUGGUGGUCGAGUGAGUCUUCGUGGUCGAGUCCUUCAGGCCAGUCGAGUGAAUCCUCGUUGGUCGACUGGAAGGCGACCUCUUCUAGGGAUGUCCUAGGGUAAGUUACUUGGAACAGGUCCAUGACCCUACCCUAGGUACAUAACCCCAUCAUUAGCCCCCGAAUGGAUUGAGGCUUCGAGUGAAGAAGGAGUUGAUGUCGUUUCCGAUUAACCUUUGCGCUCUAGUUGUGCGCUGUUCUGGAUCAAAGAAUCUCUUCGUUGACAGGGAGCAAUUUGUCUUCGGUCGACUCGAUCCAUUCUAUUUUUGCGUCGAGUGAUCUUUCGAGCUUCGACGAUCUCCGAGCGACGCAUCGCCGGAAACACCGCGUCUGACAGACUGAUUUGUUGCUCGCGGAUUCCGCGGGGUGCGAAAUUUGGGGGCGCGCGCGAAGCGGGGCAGACCGCGGCGUUCGGAUGGGACGGGGCAUAGACGCCUCGAUCUCCGCGCCGCCUUUUUCGCCACGUAUCCAGUCCUCAUAACUGCUCCCAGAUAUGAUUAGAUCGACCGGGCCCACAUGUCAGCCACUCGGAAGGGACCUUAUAAAUGUGCCCGGCGAGGAUUUCUGUGCUGCGCCUCAGCAUUCUCCCUCUCUCCCUCUGCUUCCUUCCUCCCUGCUCAGCGUGCUCGCUCUCGCCCCCGCACCACUUCCCUUCGUGCAUCUCACCGGCGACCAUGGCCAAGGAGAAGACGGCGGCGCUGGAGCGUGCCAAGAAGGCGUCGGCAUCGGAGAAGGCGAAGGGGAGAUCCACCAGCCGCAGAGGGUCCUCAUCCAGAUCCCGCCUGCCGAAAGGCUGGGUCCAAGGAGACUGGAUCCAGUCGACCAUCACGGAGAAGGACCUCCUCGACAUGGCCAACGAGGGCUUGAUCCCUCACGGAGCUGCGAGGUUGCCGGGGAAGGAGUGGCAGCCACAGCCAGAAGAGGGUGAGUGUGUGCUUCUGGCCACUCAUGUUGAUCGUGGGUUUUCCUUGCCGCCAAGCAUUUUCUUCCGUGGCUUCUUGAAUUUCUUUGGAGCGCAGCUCCACCACUUUACCCCAAACUCCAUUGCCUAUCUUGCUGCAUUCGUGUCCAUGUGUGAGGGUUUCUUGGGCUGUCGACCGCACUGGGGUUUGUUCAAACGUAUCUUCACGUGUCGCUCUCAGACCGUGAAGAAGGCGAGCCCAGGUGAUGAGAAGACCCGCGUCGUCCAAAUGUGUGGGGGCCUGGGGAUUCAGGUGAGGAAUAAUAGCACCUUCCCGCCCAUGUCCUUUCCCGAGUCCGUCAGAGGCUGGCAGUCGACUUGGUUCUACUGUCAGGUCCAGUCGACGCCAGGGCAGUCGAGUGGACUCCCUCCGUUUACCAUGGACCGAGUGAACAAGCCCUCCCCUCUGAAGCUGAUUCCGGAGGAGAAAGCCGACGUGAAGAUGUUGAUGGAGCGCGUGGUGCAGUUGGUUCGGGAGGGGGUGACGGGCAUGGAUCUUCUGGAGGUCUUCCUCAGGCGUCGCAUCCAACCCCUUCAAUUCCGGAGCCACUGCAUGUGGUGGUACUGUGGGCCCGAAGACGAGACUAGAGUCCAUCCAGAAGAAGUCGACGACGCCACUCUGGAAAGAUGGAUGGUAGCCGUUACCGGAAACAGGGACAACCCGCGCGGAGCCAGAAUGAUUCCUCCACUCGACCACAACAGCGACCCAAACAAGGUACACUUGCUCUGCUUUCCAUUGUGUCCUUGUCGUAUUCAUUUCUGCUAACCCUGCCGACUGGUCGACUGAUCCUUGUUUGGGCAUCUGCUAGGCCUUCACCGAGCUGUACUCGAUGCCCAAUGGGGCACAAGCUUCGACUGAGGAAGGCGAGGCGAGCGGGGGCGAGGCGAGCGGGGGCGAGAGCCAGGAAGAGGAGGAAUGGGACUCGGAUGCUGCAGGGGAUGAUGACGACGAUGAUGAUGAUGAAGGUGAUGAAGAUGACAUCGAGGACGAGGAAGAAGAGGAGGAGGAGGUCGUUCCACCGCGCUCAGAAAGGCGGUCGAAGCUUGUCCACGACCCUUCGACCGAACGUGGUAAGGGGGUUGCGACCGCCACUCAGUCGACCAAGCGCCCUCGGACCACCUCUCCAGCGCCGACUGAAAAGGCGCCGAAGCAGCCCAGGGCGGCCUCAUCGAAGCCGACCAAGCUCCUGCCGAAGAUGAAGGUGUCCAUCCCCACCAUAUCAGGGUAAUUGUGUUGCUCAUAUUUUCUUAUUCUGUGUGAACUUUAUCUCUGGUCGACGCUGAGGUUAGUCGACUGAUCCUUUGGAGUUGCAGUGCUGCUACUUCUGAGACCUCGGCCCGGGCCGAUGACCACGAGAUGGAGGAUGCAGCAACUUCGAAUCCAGGUACUGUGUUCUUAAUACCAUUCUUAGUCGACUGACUCGCGAUCUCUGAUCCUGAUCCUUCUCCGCAGCUCCACCCAACACUGUUAUCGAUCUUCCUGAUGAUGAUGAGGAUGAAGAGCCGCUGAAGCACAGGAGGAGUCGGAAAGCGUCCGCCAGUAAGGUGCCUCAGGAUGUGCCGGCGCCUGAAAUUCUGACUGUGGAGGAAGAGAACACCACUCGACACACGGUGACCUUCGCGAAUCCACUGACGAGUGCUCAGCAGCCUUCCCUCUUCAUGACGCACCACGUCCCAGAGGACCAAGCUGGCGCAGCGAAGGAGGCGAUACGCCAGGCGGGACUCAUGAUGGAGCAGCUGAAGACCAUCCGGGACGCAAGCCAGGCAGCUUAUGACGCCAGUUCUGCCCUCCAAAGCAAUGUCCAGGUCAGUCGACCGCUGUUUGUUCUGUUGGAUAUGCUACCAAAAACUUUUCUUUUCCGGAAUUUAUAUUAGUCACCCACUGGGUGUGUCGAAUAAACUCCGUGUUAGCGGGGGCACGCUGAGUGCACCCGCUGGGUGUAGUCCCCAAGGCUAAGGUCGACUGCUGGCAGUCGGCCUUAGGCUUUAUGAUGUCAAUCUUUCUGUCAGUCGACUGGUCGACUGGAUUUCGCAAACCGGUGGGGGCACGCUGAGUGCACCCACUGGGUGUAGUCCCCAAGGCUAAGGUCGACUGCUGGCAGUCGGCCUUAGGCUUUAUGAUGUCAAUCUUUCUGUCAGUCGACUGGUCGACUGGAUUUCACAAACCGGUGGGGGCACGCUGAGUGCACCCACUGGGUGUAGUCCCCGAGACUGUGGUCGACUGCUUGCAGUUGAUCACAGUCUUAGAGAAUGCGUCUCGCACACUGUUUUUUUUUGAGGUCGACUGGUCGACUUUGUCUUCAACAGGAUUAGUGGGGGCACGCUGAGUGCACCCACUGGGUGUAGUCCCCGAGACUACGGUCGAAUGCUUGUAUUCGGCUGUAGUCUCAGAAACGUGUGUUUUUCCCUUUUUCACUCGGAAGUGAGUUACAUUUGACGUUUAGUUGAUUGGUUCUUCGCAGAACUCUUGUGAUCUUGUGGCUCGCUACUCAGAGCUGGAACAAAAACAUACUCAAGUCGAGCUGAGCUUGAAGCUGGUUCAGGAGAAGCUGACAAAGGCAAAGGAGGAGACCGAAGGUAUGUUUGGUGAGACCCUGACGACUGCUUUUCCCCUUGCUUGUUUCGGCAUCUGAUCUCGCUGUAACUUGCAGGUAAGGUAAGGGAGGCCCAGCAGAAGAAAGACCUUGAGCUAGCUGAGAAGAUCAAGCUUGCUGACGAGAAGUUAGCUUCAGUCACCAAGCUCGAACAAGACAAUACCAAUCUGAAAACUGCUCUUGGGAUUGCCAACAAGGAAGUCAGUCGACUGAGAACUGACAAAGCUGCCUUGACCGACCAAGUCAGCAAAUUGACUGAGAAGAAAAUUGAACUGGAGGCCUUCCUGAGUGGCCUUGCCAAGAAGCUGUUUCUGAUGCUUGAAGGUAAACCUCCAUGUUUGGCAAAUAUUUCCAACUGUGGCUUCUUCCAUUCGACUAUCCCCUUGACUUAGUGACCACCCUUGCAGAAUUUUGUCAAAACUUUGAAGAGGAAACCAGCCGACUGGAGCCAAACCUUGACCCCGUCAAUUCUCCGGUGAACGACGAAGUUGCCAUGGAUGUUUUCCGACUGGAGUCUCGUGUCGCAGCUGUCGUGGACUAUCUCGCAAGGCUGAAGGCCGCCACAUCUCGCAUCGACUCGACGCUCUGGCCUGAGGAGACACUUCAGAAUGACCUUGAGUCGCUGAUGGCCCGCUUGAACACGAUCCCUGGUUGAGUGCAGGAGUGGAAGAAGUCCUCGGCUCGGUGUGGUGCAGAUGUCGCUCUGUGUCUGGCCCGAGUCCACUGCAAAGAUGCACGAGAGGAGAAGCUGGCGGCCCUUCGGGUGGCCAAUACCAAGAAGCACGACUUUAGGUCCUUUAUGGAGACUUUCCUUGCAGCUGCCACUCGGAUCGCCGACGGAAUUGACCUUGAUGAAUUUGUUGCACCUUCCAGCCCUCCACAGGAGGGGUAAAAAACUUCUUCUGGCUCGACACUUUAAAUUUGCCUCGGUAUGCCGAGUGGAAUUGUAACCGACAAACCUUAACAGGCUUGACGCCCGAGCACUUUCGGUUCCUUUAGAUAUCGAUUCAAACUUGAAUUUGGCGCUUGAAUAUGAUUGCCUUCGGCUCGGAAUGUCUUUUGCAGGUUCAAAGCAAGGUGCCUGUACCGCAAUCGACUUAUUCUUUAGUCCACUUAGGCGAGCACUGGGCUGCAGCUAAGCCUCCGAGUGAGAGGGUCGCUCUUCACUCGGUAGGAUUUUUGUAACUUAGGCGAGCGCAGGGCUGCAGCUAAGCCCCCGAGUGAGAGGGUUGCUCUCCACUCGGUAAGAUUUUUAUAACUUAGGCGAGCACGACGCUGCAGCUAAGCCUCCGAGUGGAAGGCUGGCUUACCACUCGGUAGGAUUUUGAUAACUUAGGCGAGCACGAGGCUGCAGCUAAGCCCCCGAGUGAGAGGAUCGCUCUUCACUCGGUAGGAUUUUCACAACUUAGGCGAGUGCUUGGACUGCAGCUAAGCCCCCGAGUGAGAGGGUUGCUCUUCACUCGGUAGGAUUUUUAUAACUUAGGCGAGCACGAGGCUGCAGCUAAGCCUCCGAGUGAGAGGGUUGCUCUUCACUCGGUAGGAUUUUUAUAACUUAGGCGAGCCCUUGGACUGCAGCUAAGCCCCCGAGUGGAAGGCUGGCUUACCACUCGGUAGGAUUUUCACAACUUAGGCGAGUGCUUGGACUGCAGCUAAGCCCCCGAGUGAAAGGCUGGCUUACCACUCGGUAGGAUUUUGAUAAACUUAGGCGAGUGCUUGGACUGCAGCUAAGCCCCCGAGUGGAAGGCUGGCUUACCACUCGGUAGGAUUUUGAUAAACUUAGGCGAGUCCUUGGACUGCAGCUAAGCCCCCGAGUGGAAGGCUGGCUUACCACUCGGUAGGAUUUUGACAAACUUAGGCGAAACGGAUUCGCAGCUAAGCCUCCGAGUGAGAGUCUGGCUCACCACUCGAUAGGAUUUUUACAAACUUAGGCGAAACGGAUUCGCGGCUAAGCCACCCACUGAGGGGGAGUUUUUAUGUGGACAAAAAUAAAAAGUGAUGACACAAUUAUUUCUAAACCCAUGAACUACAGAAGUACUUUAUUGCAACUCAUCCGAGUGAUAAAACUUAAGUGUAAAAUGGGCGGAGUAGCUCCGCGUUCCAAGCUCGGGGCUCGUCGAUAUUAUGCUCGACGUUGUAAAGACGGUACGCCCCGUUGUGGAGAACCUUGGUGACGAUGAAGGGACCUUCCCAAGAAGGAGCAAGCUUGUGUGGUUUGUGCUGAUCCACUCGGAGAACCAAAUCCCCUUCCUGGAAGGCUCGACCUCUCACAUUUCGGGCGUGGAAACGGCGCAGAUCUUGUUGGUAGAUGGUCGACCGGAUCAGAGCCAUCUCCCUUUCUUCCUCUAAAAGGUCGACUGCGUCCUGCCGCGCUUGUUCAGCUUCUGCUUCGUUGUAGAUUUCGACUCGAGGAGCAUUGUGGAGAAGAUCACUCGGCAAGACUGCUUCGGCUCCAUAGACCAAGAAGAAUGGAGUUCUUCUGGUCGACCGAUUGGGCGUGGUCCGCAGUCCCCAGAGUACAGAUGGAAGUUCGUCGACCCAAGCUCCAGCCGCGUGUUUGAGAUCACGCAUCAGUCGCGGCUUCAGUCCCUUGAGAAUCAGUCCAUUAGCUCGCUCUGCUUGCCCAUUCGACUGCGGAUGGGCGACUGAUGCGUAGUCGACCCGUGUGCCCUGGGAGUUGCAGAAGGUUCUGAAUUCCUCUGAGUCAAAGUUCGACCCAUUAUCCGUAAUGAUGCUGUGCGGGACUCCAUAUCUGAAUAUUAGUUCCCUGAUGAAGCUAACAGCAGUACCGGUGUCGAGGCUCUUGAUUGGUUUAGCCUCGAUCCACUUGGUGAACUUGUCGACUGCCACCAGUACAUGCGUGAAGCCACUUCGUCCUGUUCUCAAAGGGCCGACCAUGUCCAGCCCCCAAACUGCAAAAGGCCAGACGAGUGGGAUGGUCUUCAAAGCUGACGCAGGUUUGUGCGACAUAUUCGAGUAGAACUGACAUCCCUCGCACUUAUCCACUAUCUCCUUUGCCAUCUCAUUCGCCUUGGGCCAGUAAAAUCCGGCUCGGUAUGCUUUGGCCACGAUGGUCCGGGAGGACGCAUGAUGACCACAGGUCCCCGAGUGAAUAUCAUUGAGGAUGAGUCGACCUUCUUCUGGUGUUAUGCACUUCUGACCGACUCCAGUCGUGCUCUCUCUGUAUAAUUGUCCUUUGAUGACCGUAAAGGCCUUAGAUCGACGGACGAUCUGUCGAGCCUCUUCCUCAUCCUCCGGAAGCUCUUUCCUCAAGAUAUAUGCGACAUACGGAAUCGUCCAGUCGGGAAUGACUAUCAAAACCUCCAUGAUCAAGUCGACCACUGCUGGGACUUCAACCUCAGUCGGAUCUGUGGCACUCUUGGGCUGCGGAGUUUCUUCGGUGAAAGGAUCUUCUUUGACUGACGGAGUAUGUAUAUGCUCCAAGAACACACCACUCGGAAUGGCUUCUCUCUUGGAACCUAUCUUUGCUAGAUCAUCAGCUGCUUGAUUUUUCAGUCGGGGUAUAUGAUGGAGCUCCAACCCCUCGAACUUUUUCUCCAGCUUCCUCACUACACUGCAGUAUCCAGUCAUGGCUGGGCUUCUCACGUCCCACUCUUUCAUCACCUGAUUGACCACUAAAUCCGAGUCGCCAUAGACCAUUAGGCGACGGACGCCGAGUGAAAUGGCCAUGCGCAACCCAUAUAGGAGGGCCUCAUAUUCUGCCUCAUUGUUGGAGGAAUCAAAGUGAAUCUGGAGCACAUAUCUGAGCUUAUCUCCUCUGGGGGAAACCAGGACAACCCCAGCACCGGAACCAUUCAACAUCUUAGAACCAUCAAAAAACAUGGUCCAAUGCUCCGAGUGAACUUCAGUCGGCUGCUGCUGUUCGAUCCACUCGGCGAGGAAAUCUGCUAUUGCCUGGGACUUAAUGGCUUUCUUUGCCUCAAACUUGAUAUCAAGGGGAAGAAGUUCAAUCGCCCAUUUGGCCACUCGACCAGUUGCAUCUCUGUUGUGCAAAAUCUCUGAUAGUGGAGCGUCGCUGACGACUGUGAUUGAAUGGUCAGAGAAAUAAUGAGCAACCUUCUUUGUGGUCAUGUAUAUUCCAUACACAAGCUUCUGAUAAUGAGGAUAUCUCUGCUUGGAUGGAGUCAAGACUUCAGACAAAUAAUACACUGGGCGCUGAACUUUGAGAGCUUUUCCUUCUUCUUCCCGCUCGACCGUUAGCACAGUACUNNNNNNNNNNNNNNNNNNNNNNNNNNNNNNNNNNNNNNNNNNNNNNNNNNNNNNNNNNNNNNNNNNNNNNNNNNNNNNNNNNNNNNNNNNNNNNNNNNNNNNNNNNNNNNNNNNNNNNNNNNNNNNNNNNNNNNNNNNNNNNNNNNNNNNNNNNNNNNNNNNNNNNNNNNNNNNNNNNNNNNNNNNNNNNNNNNNNNNNNNNNNNNNNNNNNNNNNNNNNNNNNNNNNNNNNNNNNNNNNNNNNNNNNNNNNNNNNNNNNNNNNNNNNNNNNNNNNNNNNNNNNNNNNNNNNNNNNNNNNNNNNNNNNNNNNNNNNNNNNNNNNNNNNNNNNNNNNNNNNNNNNNNNNNNNNNNNNNNNNNNNNNNNNNNNNNNNNNNNNNNNNNNNNNNNNNNNNNNNNNNNNNNNNNNNNNNNNNNNNNNNNNNNNNNNNNNNNNNNNNNNNNNNNNNNNNNNNNNNNNNNNNNNNNNNNNNNNNNNNNNNNNNNNNNNNNNNNNNNNNNNNNNNNNNNNNNNNNNNNNNNNNNNNNNNNNNNNNNNNNNNNNNNNNNNNNNNNNNNNNNNNNNNNNNNNNNNNNNNNNNNNNNNNNNNNNNNNNNNNNNNNNNNNNNNNNNNNNNNNNNNNNNNNNNNNNNNNNNNNNNNNNNNNNNNNNNNNNNNNNNNNNNNNNNNNNNNNNNNNNNNNNNNNNNNNNNNNNNNNNNNNNNNNNNNNNNNNNNNNNNNNNNNNNNNNNNNNNNNNNNNNNNNNNNNNNNNNNNNNNNNNNNNNNNNNNNNNNNNNNNNNNNNNNNNNNNNNNNNNNNNNNNNNNNNNNNNNNNNNNNNNNNNNNNNNNNNNNNNNNNNNNNNNNNNNNNNNNNNNNNNNNNNNNNNNNNNNNNNNNNNNNNNNNNNNNNNNNNNNNNNNNNNNNNNNNNNNNNNNNNNNNNNNNNNNNNNNNNNNNNNNNNNNNNNNNNNNNNNNNNNNNNNNNNNNNNNNNNNNNNNNNNNNNNNNNNNNNNNNNNNNNNNNNNNNNNNNNNNNNNNNNNNNNNNNNNNNNNNNNNNNNNNNNNNNNNNNNNNNNNNNNNNNNNNNNNNNNNNNNNNNNNNNNNNNNNNNNNNNNNNNNNNNNNNNNNNNNNNNNNNNNNNNNNNNNNNNNNNNNNNNNNNNNNNNNNNNNNNNNNNNNNNNNNNNNNNNNNNNNNNNNNNNNNNNNNNNNNNNNNNNNNNNNNNNNNNNNNNNNNNNNNNNNNNNNNNNNNNNNNNNNNNNNNNNNNGCAUGUCAGCGGGCUUCCAUGCAAAAAUGUCCCAGUUCUCACGGAGGAACUGGAUGAGCGCUUCUUCCUAUUUUGGGUCGAGUGUUGUGGAGAUGCGGGUCGGAGCUGCUUCGGGGUCGGUCGGGUGAAUGUGAACAGGCUUCGUCUCACCGGACGACUGGAAUGCAGAUUCUGCGGCGGGCUUCUUGGAUCGCAGCAAGUCACUCGGAUCUGCGUUUUGCUUGUAUUCUUCGAACUCGACCGCUGUCACUUGGGAAUCGGCAAUUUUGGAGCCCUUCUGAAAGCACUCCUCUGCCUUUUUCCUAUCACCGGUGACAGUGAUCACACCUUUGGGACCGGGCAUCUUCAAUUUGAGGUACACGUAACAUGGUCGAGCCAUGAACCGUGCAUAGGCUGGUCUCCCCAAAAUGGCAUGAUAUGCACUUUGAAAAUCCACGACCUCAAACGUCAACUUUUCUUUGCGAAAAUGCUUUGAAUCGCCAAACACUACGUCCAAAGCUAUCUGGCCGAGUGACUCGGCCUUCUUCCCUGGUAUAACUCCAUGGAAGCUCAUGUUACUAGUGCUCAGUCGGGAUAUCGGAAUGCCCAUACCUUUCAACGUGUCUGCAUAUAACAGAUUCAGCCCACUUCCACCGUCCAUCAGCACCUUUGUCAGUCGAGUGCCUUCGACAACUGGAUCGACCACCAAAGCUUGCCUCCCAGGGGUGGCAAUAUGAGUCGGGUGAUCAGAUUGGUCGAAUGUGAUGGGUGUUUGAGACCACUUCAGAUAAUUUGCCUUUGCUGGGGCAACCAUGUUAACCUCUCAGUUAAUCACUUUCAGUCGACUUCUGCUUUCCACAUCUGCGAAGAUCAUCAGAGUGGAGUUGAUAUGCGGAUAUCCUCCCUCACUGUCCUCUUUGUCUUCGGCCUUGUCCGGCUCCUUCUCCUUGUCCUUAGACUGUUUUCCCUGAAACUGCUGGAUCAGGAGUCGACAUUGGCGAGUGGUGUGCUUUGGGUAAAUGAUAUUCCCCUCUUCAUCUUUCUUCGUGUGAAUAUGACACGGCAUAUCCAUCACGUCGUUCCCUUCUUUAUCCUUUACCUUCUUGGGGUUCCAGGAUCCUUUUGGUUUCCCCUUAAACUUUCCUUGAGUCACGGCCAGAGCCUCUCCAGGAGCUGCCGGUUCAGCCUUCCGCUUCUGUUUCCGACUGGUGUUUCCUUUUUCCGACUGACUCGGCUUGUGCUUGCCGCUUCGGAGUCGGUCUUCUUCUUCGCCGUUGGCAUACUUGGUAGCAAUCUCCAUCAUCCGACUCAAGGUCAUGUCACCGGUUCGACCAAAUUUCAAACUCAGUUCUCUGUUCUUGACGCCGUCUUUGAAGGCGCAUACUGCCUGAUGAUCAGAGACAUUUUCCACAGUGUGGUGCAAAGUGAUCCACCUCUGAAUAUACUCUCUGAGAGUCUCAUUAGUUUUCUGCACGUAGACUUGCAACUCUAUCAAUCCCGCUGGUCGCUUGCAAGUCCCUUCAAACGUUCUGACGAACACUCGGGACAGAUCUUCCCAAGUGUAAAUGCUGCUAGGAGGUAAUUGAGUCAACCAUGCCCUGGCAGAACCUUCCAACAUGAGGGGCAAAUGCUUCAUGGCCACCUCGUCGUUCCCACCACCGAUCUGAACUGCCACUCGGUAGUCUUCAAGCCAAGUUUUAGGCUUAGACUCACCAGUGAACUUGCUGACUCCUGUUGCCAACCUGAAAUUGGGGGGGAUAACUGCGGCUCUGAUAGCUCUGCUGAAACAUUCAGGACCAGAAACAUGUACUCGACUGCUCGUGGGUACAUCUCUGUCGAGUGCGCCUCGAUGGGCUCUGUUCCGGUCGACCAACCCUUGCACGAUAAUGGAUCGCGCGUCGAAGCCUGGCUCUCUGGGGUCAACUGGAACCCUACGCCCUGUACUGUACUGAUGCCUAUCAUCUGGCUGCCGAGGAGCGUAAGACCCACCCCUCGGAGGGGAAUAGGGCACUCGACGCCUAUCAUCUCGGUCGAGUCUGUCGCCAUAUUGAUCUCGCCGAUUCUCACGCCCUUCGCGCCGCGGAGGCGAUCUGGGGCUGUGAGCCGACUGAACCGUAUUCACAGUGACAGAUCGACUGUGAAUUCUGUUGCGCGACUGAGACACGGCUGAAUUCUGAUCUCCUGCUGCCCGGAGCAGAUCCCUGAUCUGCAGCAAACCUCUGCCAGCUUCCGACUGCGAAGGCUGAAUGGACUCUGCUAUACGGGUCGCAGCUGCUAAAUUCUGAAUUGGGGUUCGAUAUACCUGAGUCGGCGGGAAGAGUUGACGUCGACUGAUGUCGGGAACUCGUUGCCGCGCGCGCUCGUCGAGUGCUCGCUGAAGGUUCUCCAGUCGAGUGCGCUCGGCCAAAUUGGCCAGACGCGCCUCCUCCAAGGCACGAGCCUCGGGGGUUUCUCCUGCGAUGGGAAUACGCAGGGGAUCCUCGUUCCUGCGGCGAAGCUCUUCUCUUUGCAGAGAGUCGAGUGGCUCGGGCUGGUACUCUUCGUAGCCUCGUGCAGGGUCGCCGCCGUCGCCUGCUCCACCACCACGGGCGAAGCCAGGAGGACUGUGGGGCCCGUCGACCAUCAAGAUUUCCGCCGCUGGAUCACUGCUUCCGCACUCGGAUGCAGUCUCUCCGGAGCCAGUCGACUGAUCGAACAAGCCGUAGAGAGAUUCGUUGGGCUCGAUUGCCGCAACUUGUGUAGUGGCCGACUGGCGAGCCACCGCGUGACUCACCCAUCGCUGAAGCCUCGACCGGCCUGAGCGCUUGCGCUGGCGGGAGACCGGGAGGGUGGAAGAUGGAGGAGCCGACCGAUACUGGGUCAAUGGUUGCCGCAGCAGAACGCCGCGGACACAUGCGCGAAAAUGCGUCGCACCGCGGACGGGGAGCGCAUCUACGUCGAGUGGAGCCUCCUGGAGCCAUGCGGAGUCGUCGGCGAUGAAGGCGAGAGCGCCGAGACGGAUCUCUUGACCCUCGACCAAAAUUCCAGCAGACACCAUGAUGACAGUACUCGGAAGAAUCGCAACUUCUCCACAAAAUCGCUAAAACACCUGCCCCACGGUGGGCGCCAACUGUCGUGGUUCUAAGCCUGACAGUAGAGUGGGGGGUAGGUAUGGAGAGGCAAGGUCCUAGCUAUGGAGAGGUUGUAAGCACAAAGGAUGUACGAGUUCAGGCCCUUCUCGGAAGAAGUAACAGCCCUACGUCUCGGAGCCCGGAGGCGGUCGAGUGGAUUAUGAAUGUAUGGAUUACAAGGUGCCGAACCCCUCUGCCUGUGGAGGGGGGUGGCUUAUAUAGAGUGCGCCAGGACCCCAGCCAGCCCACGUAGGAGAGGGUUUAAGGUGAGUUAAGUCUGGGGCGUUACUGGUAACACCCCACAUAAAGUGCCUUUACUAUCAUAAAGUCUACUUAAUUACAGGCCGUUGCGGUGCAGAGUGCCUCUUGACCUCCUGGUGGUCGAGUGAGUCUUCGUGGUCGAGUCCUUCAGGCCAGUCGAGUGAAUCCUCGUUGGUCGACUGGAAGGCGACCUCUUCUAGGGAUGUCCUAGGGUAAGUUACUUGGAACAGGUCCAUGACCCUACCCUAGGUACAUAACCCCAUCAGUGUGUCCAACUCGCUGGCCAGCAACACGGCCCGAUGGAGUUCUGGAUCAUGGUGGGGGCCCGCCUUCGCGCUAGCCUAAAGGGGUAGGGCCCAAACCAGGGGCGUGCCGACAAGAUCCUCAGGGAGAGGGUGAUGGCCGAAAUUGCCCUCCUAGAUAUCCAAGCGGACUCUCGACCAUUCUCUGAGCAAGAAUGGGCGCAGCGCUACGCCUUGGAAGGACAAGUUGAAGCACUGCUGCGGGCAGAGGAGGAAUACUGGAGGCGUAGAGGAGGCCUUAAGUGGACGCUCAAAGGGGAUGCGAACACGCAGUAUUUCCAUGCAUAUGCGAAUGGCCGACGCAGAAAAUGCUCAAUCGUUAGGCUGCAGAUGGAGCAGGGGCUGCUGCUGCAGCAAGCGGAGAUCUCCCGCCACAUCUAUGACUUCUAUAUGAGUCUGAUGGGGACGGAAGAGGCACAACACGCGCGCUUGCGUGAGGAUGUGUGGCUUCCUUCUCAACGGGUGUUAGAUAGUGAGAACGAGGAGCUGGGGCUUGCGUUCCUCCCUAAGGAAAUCGACGACGCCCUGCUUAGCAUGAAAUCCGACACGACCCCUGGCCCGGACGGGUGGCCGGUGGCGAUGUUCAAGCAUUUUUGGCCACUUCUACUUGGUCCAAGUUUUGAUGUGUGCAACGACUUUAUGCGCGGCUUCGUGGACAUAGCUAGACUUAAUUAUGGAGUGCUCUCGCUAAUUCCGAAAGUGUUGGGCGCGGACAACAUUCGCCAGUACAGACCCAUUGCACUCAUUAAUGUUCCGUUCAAAAUAUGUGCUAAAGGUUGUGCCACCAGACUCUCGCCGAUCGCUCAUCGCACUAUUAGUCGCUCGCAGUCAGCGUUUAUUCGCGGUAGGAACAUUCUAGAGGGUCCGUUAGCCUUGCAAGAAACCCUACACGAGCUUAGACGCACUCACGAACCAGCGAUACUCUUGAAACUUGAUUUCGAGAAAGCUUAUGACCGCGUCAACUGGGAUUUUCUCCGGCAGGUCCUCUCCAGUAGGGGCUUCUCGCCGGUUUGGGUCCAUCGAGUCAUGCAAUUGGUCUCGGGGGGCCAAACUACGGUCUCGGUUAACGGAGAAGUAGGUAACUUCUUCAGGAACAAGCGUGGAUUGCGCCAAGGCGAUCCAAUGUCACCUCUUUUGUUAAACUUCGUCACCGACGCGCUGGCCGCCAGGUUGCGAAAGGCUGCGGAGGCUGGUCACAUAAAAGGGGUGCUGGGGCACCUCAUCCCAGGGGGGAUAUCCCACUUGCAAUACGCGGACGAUACGUUUUACUGUUCCAACCUGACCAGCAUAGCAUUGCAACGGUCAAAGCCCUGCUUAUUAGUUUCGAACUCAUGUCGGGUCUUAAAAUUAAUUUCCACAAAUGCGAAGUGAUGGCUAUGGGCAUGGACGCGCUGGAUAGUAGGCGCGUUGCGGACUUGCCGAACUGCAAUCUAGGCAAGCUCCCGUUUACUUAUUUGGGUCUUCCGUUAGACGCAAAGCGUAUCACAAUCGAUGGCUGGGCUCCGCUUUGGACAAAGGUGGGAGGGCGGGUGUGCCCGUGGAGGGGAAAGUUCCUUUCCUCCGCGGCUAGGCUGAUUCUCAUGAAUGCAGGCCUCUCCUUGCUGCCGCAAUUCGCUAUGGGGCUUUUGCUCUUGGCAGAAGGGGUUCAUGCCAAGAUGGACACACCCCGGUCCCGUUUCUUUUGGGAAGUAGCGGGCCCCAAGCGCAAAUACCACAUGGUUCGAUGGGAUGCGGUGUGCCGCCCGAAGGCAGAGGGAGGGCUUGGGAUCACAAACACCAGAAUCCUAAACAUCGCACUGAUGUGUAAGUGGAUUUGGAAGCUGUCGCAGGGGGCGACGGGCCUGUGGGUGGAUAUACUCCGUUCUAAGUAUUUCCCGUCUGGGAAUUUUUUCGAAGGAGUGGCGAGAGGUUCCCCCUUCUGGAAUGACCUCCAAGCGGUGCGGCCGGCCUUCGCCCUGGGAGACAAGUUCUCCAUCGGCAAUGGUCGGUCGGCCCGGUUUUGGUUGGAUCGCUGGGUGGGAUCCCAACCCCUUUGGUCGGAAUUCCAGGAUCUCUAUGUUCAGGCGGUCAACCCGGAGAUGAGCGUUGCUUCGGCGCUUGCCUCCUCUCCACCAGCGAUCUGCUUCCGGCGCGAGCUUUCGGGCACCGAACAAGAUCACCUUGCGGAGCUGCUUAGCCUCAUCGCGCCGGUUUCGCUUUCAUCGUCUGAUGACACCGUGCACUGGUCUCUGACCCCUUCCGGCAAGUUUUCGGUCAAGUCUUUGUACCGGAAGUUGUGCGAGUGCCAGGCCUGCUUAGUGCCGAAGGGUCUAUGGACUGCUCGCCUCCCGCUUAAAAUUAAGGUGUUCUUUUGGCAGCUGUUUCACAACAGACUGCCCACCUCGGCUAAUGUGGCUAAACGCAAAGGCCCGUUGUCCGGUCUAUGUGUGGUUUGUAAUGUCGUGGAGGAUGCGAACCACGUUUUCUUCCGCUGUCCGUUAGCUUGCUUCGCUUGGAGCGCGGUUCGCACUGCAGCUAACACUUCCUAGAACCCGCGUUCUGCCACUGAUCUAGCGGCCAUCGUCGCGGCCACUAAAGGUGGCAACAACCGCGUGCUGUGGAGUUGUCUCGGAGCCUUGGCUUGGUCUCUCUGGCUAACCAAGAACAAACUAGCGAUUGAAGGAAUCUUCCCAACGCACCCGACUAAUAUCAUCUAUAAAUGCAACCUUUUCCUGCAGCAGUGGAGUCCGUUGGCGAGGCGCAAGGAUGCUGAGAAGCUGAAGCAUGCCCAAGACCGUCUGCGUCAAGUCUACGUUUUGGCUAGGGAGCCUCUCGCCACAUCCGCGCCUGGAUAGUGGCCCUUUUGACGUGCUCGCGUGAGCCUGCGUGCUCUGAGCUCUGGCUUCGUGCCAUGUAAUCGUUUAGAUGCGAACUCCGUUUGGUCCGGUCCAAAAUUGCCGUGAACUAUGUGUUGGCGCCGGUCGUGAGCCUCUGCGCUCGUCCGUAUGUUUCGAGUCUAUGUCUGAUACGCUGCCUAGUUGUGGGCUUUAUUAAUUUAAAGCCGGACGCGCCCAGCGUCUUCGUUCUAAAAAAAAUCUAGAGGGGCGUGUCGCUCCUGUCUUUCUUCUUUGUAUUGCUUUGCUUUUCGUUGUGGUUGAUUACAAGGGGCUGCCACAUGUAUAUAUAGCAGGCUAGACUAGCUCGUUACAUGACCGACACGGCUAGGAAUCAUAAUCCUAGUUGGACUACUAAUCCCAAUUGGACACAAGGUGUGCUUAUGUCUAACAUUCACCCACUAAGCACAACUUUCUUGUUACCACCUGGAUCCCAAACGCGACUGUUGCUACUCAUAGGCAUUGCUUUUGCCGUUUCUUAUAGCACUUCAGGGAUCAUCAUUCUUGUCGUCGGCUCGUCCAUAGCUUGGUGCCAACGCUCCUUCUUGAUCGUGUCUUCAACCUUCACCCGUUCUUCGGUGUUUGGUAGACCGUCUUUCGGAUCGUCGAGGAAACAUCCUUUGGAUCCGAGCAAGACCAAACUUUGGUCUAACUUUGAGUCCCAAGCUCUUGGCGCUUGCUUCAGCCCGUAAAGUGCCUUCUUGAGCUUGUAAACUUUCCGUUCUUCUCCUUUCUUCUCGUAGCCGAGGGGUUGUUCCACGUACACUUUUUCUGUGAGGUCACCGUUGAGGAAAUCGGAUUUCACAUCCAUAUGAUGAACCUUCCAAUCCUCUUGUGCCGUCAAAGCUAGGAGCACUCUCACCGUCUCGAUUCGAGCAACCGGUGCAAACACCUCCUCAUAGUCAACUCCUUAACGUUGUACGUAGCCCUUUGUGACGAGUCUUGCCUUGUGCUUCACAAUGGCACCAUUCGUGUCCUUCUUCAACUUGUAAACCCAAUUCAAACCUAUGGCCUUUUGGUUCGGAGGUCGGGUUACCAAAGUCCACGUGCCAUUGCUCUCGAUCGCCUUAAUCUCCUCAUCCAUGGCUGCUACACAUAUAUAUAUAUAUAGCAGGCUAGACUAGCUCGUUACACGACCGACACGGCUAGGAAUCAUAUCCUACUUGGACUACUAAUCCCAAUCGGACACAAGGUGUGCUUAUGUCUAACAACGAGGAGGUCGAUGGGCGCGCCGGCCCACGCGGAUGGGGGCGCGGGGGAAGGUCGCUGGUGGCCGUGACCAACUGCGUGGCGGUGGUGCCAGAGAGUUUGGGGGCAUCCUCUUCCAGCCCCCGGCGAGUUCUAAGCAGAUGCAGGGCCUGGAUCGACGGCGACGGGCCGAUGGCGAACAGGGUCGAAGAGGAGGAGAAGGGACCGGCGACCUGGAGUUGGCGGGGACGGGGACGAGGCCUCUCCCUGUACAUCGAGGAGAUGGGUGUGUCUCCGAUGGGAAGGGGAUGCAGCGACGAGGUGGAUCUACAUAGAAGAUGUAUAGGUCUAAGAAGAUGAAUAUGACAUGUGGGCCCCACUGGUCCGUGUGAUUAGUGUGUGAAUCCGGCCGGGAUCAUCCUUUUCCCGGUGCGCCAAACAUUUAUUUAGCAAAAUCAGCCGGGACAGACCCGGAUUAUAGAAUAUAGGGUGCUAGUUUCAGGGAUUUAAAAGUCAAGGUUCAAUUCAGACUAUGAGUACGAGUUUAAGGUUUAUUUUAGACUUUUCCCUUAUAUAUUUGUUUUCCCUAUGUCCAUUUACUUCCCUUUAUGCCAUCUUCAUUCAUCCGUUCGUCCUUUCCUACCCCUUCGCUAAUUUAAUGCAUCAUUCUUUUGAUGAAAAAUUGAUACAUUUUCCCCAACUUUUAUGGUUCAAAUACUGCUUCCUCCUGUUCAUUCUAUAUUCAUUUUCCUUCUCUGCAAUAAUUUUCCUUUAUGUAAUGUCCACUCAAUACCUCCUCCCCUGCAAUUAUUUGCCUUUCCUGCUCUUAUGUGAAUGAUGCCGCUCCUUUCCUGCCAAUUUUUCUUUCCCCUAAACCUGCAAGUUUCUUAUGCGAUGCCAUGUCGCGAACCAAACAAAGGAGACCUGCCUGCAUCUGAUCUUCUAUAAUUCAGAAUAAGGAGGGUGGUAUAUAUGAUCACAUGAUCGAAAC